GUGCGUAGAAAAUAAUUUUCAUAAUUUUUUGAUGAUUUACGUAGUGAUUGAAGAGGCUCAAAAUUAAUAAUUUUAAUAAUUAUGAUGAGCAAUUUACAAGUUUAAUAUGAUAGAAAUGUUUAAAUCACUUUAUAUCAUAUAAAAUAAAAUUAAUAUCUUUGAUUUAAAAUUUUAACAUCAUAUUGCUACCUUUUGUGAAAUUUUUUAUUUUCAACGAUUCAUUAUGAACCUUUUUAUUACUAAAUAAAUGAUAUUGAAAUAAUCGCAAAAUUUAUUUUCUAAAUACUUGCAAUACUCAGAUUCAAUCGUUGAUUCGAAAGUUUUAUUGUCAGAAACAAUUUAAUAGCACGGAGAUUACUGUACUUUUGAAAACGCACAAAUCUGACUCUUAAUAUAAGUUAAAAAAGUUCAAAAAUUGCGGAUUUAUUCCUAUAGAAUUUUGAUCAUCAUAUAUUUGCCUCUAAAGUUACAUAAUAUUGCAGAUUUAUUCUUGUCGGUGGAUAACCAUUCGUUGACGGCUUAAUUUUCACAGUUCAAACAGUUAUGCCAUUAUUAUUAUUAUUUUUUAAAGGACUUUUGAAGGGUUUAUUAUUUAUAAUAUUGUAGAAUGACUAGAGAAAUAGGAUACCAGCAUUGAAAACGAAAAAUUAUGGUAUAAAAUAAAAUAUAUGUUCAAUAAUGGAAGGGUCGCUUUUAUGCAAAAAGAAUAAGUAAACUUUAUCUGCUGAACUAGAGGUGGGGAUGAAUUUGACCUAUUUAAUAUGGAUAAUUUCUUAUAUACUCAUCAAACAUAUUCAUCUUUUAAAUAUACCAAAGUUUUCAAAUUCAUUCCUCUAAAAUCCAAAUUCUCCCGAAUAAACCCUCAGGGGCAGGGGCAUAUUGGAAAGAAAUUGGCGCCGUUCCACAGGCAAGUUCGAAAUAAGAUAUUAUCUGUAUUUAAUAAUUAGGAUUUUUGAGGGACAAUUCUGCGGAUUUACUACUUUGCAGUGGUACUACAUAGGCAAUUUUCCCUAAUUUAGUGAGAGUUACUGAAGAAGUAAGUGUAGAGAUCUAUUAUGUUUUCUCUAGUUGUAAAUUGUUGCUUACUGUUUUACAUUUAAAGGACGGCUUUUGUGAAAUAUUCAAAACUUUGAGUUUCAUGCCGUGAUUAGUUCACUCGAUUUCUUUUGCAAUUAUUCGGCAAUUGGGACAUCUUUGUAUUCUUUGGGGUAAUUUUUAUUCAGAAGUGUGUCUGAAGAGACAUAUGAAUAUAUUUCAAGUGACUGUUGUGAGUUUUGUGUGACUUUCCCUGUUCUGUUAAUUAUUGGAACGGCAUAUAGCCAUUUCUCGCUCACUGGAUGGUGUUAAUGAUAGUAGUUGUGGUUUCAAUUAAUUUUAUGUCACUCUUUAAACACAGUAUAUUAGCCAAAUCUGCUUUUCUUACUUUUACUUUUAUUCAAUUGUUUUAAUCAUCUUUUUCUAAAGCUCCUGAUCUGAAAAAGGGAAUUGAUUCUCCUUUUUUUUUUUCCCCACUUUUUGUGUCUAUGAGUGUGUAUGCCAGUCUAAUUCCUAUGAUGUUCUCCUUUACCUUUUUCUGCCAAUCCGUUCAUCCCCGCCUCUCUAAAGUUUCUAUCAAAGUUCUCUACAACAUACCAUAUCUCAGCUUUCAAUCUUUUCAUUUCGCUUACGUGUCCAGUGCAUUUUAUGAUAGCAGUUCUCAGCGACAACUCUACUCCGAAUUUAUCAUUAUUCGGUCCUCUCUGAAGUUCCAUUUGAUAGGGCUGUUGGAAUAAUAAGAUCACCCACAAGGCGCUUUAUGAUCUUUCCACUUGGCAAAAGUAUAUUUUACUCACUGUCUUCGUAAGGGAAGUUUAGGGAGAUCUCCCCCCUGUUUACACCUUACCUUUGUGACAAGGCUAUGAGAAUAACUGUAAAAGUCUCUCGCAUAGGAGGCAGAUGAAAUGCUAAGAGAAAAGCAUGACAUACUUCGCUAUCUAUUGAACUUACUUUGACAGCUGUGAAACAUAAAAAUCCUACAAAUUUAAGGACAAUAAACUCACAUAAUAAUACAUGCUUAUACAAUAGGCAUAUGUUUUUGUCCAAACUUUGUGUGGUUAAUAAACUUGUGCAGAAAGCUGAGAAUCCAAACUAAUGUUGGAAAAACAAUAAUCUUCAAGCUACCCUUCCUUUUAUAUAUAUUUUUUCACCCUAACAUUCUCGAAGUUGAUGCCACAAGUUUUUGCUUGUCCCUAUGUAGAUAAGCUAUGCUUAUGGUUAUACAUCUUAAGUUUCAGUACUUUUAUAAGCUCUAAAUGUCGUCAAUGAUAAUUUACGCAGGUUUCAUUUGCUUGUGGAAUUCGAUGAGGUGAAGCGAAGCUGUAGGAAGCGUCUUGACGGGCACAACAGGCGUCGAAGGAAGCCUCAGCCCGAUUCUGUAAACUCAGGGACCUUGUUUACCCUUCAUCAAGGUCUUUAAUCUUUAUAACCAUCUUCUUACUGAGCGUUUUAAAAAUGGUGAAUGCAUUUUAACUCUUAUACUUUGCAUGCUCUACUUGCUGAUCUCAUGAAAUUCUAUACAUUGAAUAACUUCCUUCCAUAUCUCCUCAAAUAGUCAAAUGACGUUGAGUAGUGUGAUUAACAUGAUAUACGCCUCAAUUGCAGUUGUGAACAGAAUAUUAUCAAACUAUGCAUUCUGGUUUUCGUUUUGAUGCCCAUCAAUUCGCCAUAGGUAGCAACAAUACAGAAGUGGUCAUAAAGCAAAGUUUAAUUUGAUUGUCUAGUUUUUCUUUAUACAGAUAUUUGAGCACCAAUUUCUCGAGAUUUUAUUUCAGAUCACAAUCAAUCAUUUGGCCAAAAAACUGAUCAAUUCCCUUAAAAUGCUUCUCAUCUUUUUAUUUUCAUUUCUUCUGUAACACUUUGAUUUCUUAAUAUUCAGGUACAAGGUUCUCAUCAUAUCCUCUGCUUUUCCCAACUGCACCGGAAUCCAACUUUAAUGGAAUCAUUAAAUUCGAGAAUGGGGCUCUUUAUAAUAAGCAACAAAAUACAGCCACCACUGCCGCCGCUACAAACUCCUCCCACUAUUACAUGGAAGAAAGAAGGCCAUUCCACUUCGCACAAGAAAUCACUACUGAGAGCAACAAGAGCACUAAGCUGUUCUCCGAUGGCUUAAACCGGGUGAUUGACCCCUCAGAGUGUGCUCUCUCUCUUCUGUCAUCGCCUGCUCUGAUUCCAAUGGCUCAACCUUUGCAUGUUUCAGAUUUUCAGUAUGGAAAUAUUGCGCGAUUCUCUAACUUAACACCUGAUAAUGUUGAAGUAGAUGGGUUUUCCACUGUUAUAGUUUCCGAUGCUAAUAGGGAUGCAGGGAUCCAUUACCAGAGUGUAUAUCAUCUCGCCGGUGAAGAAGGCUCGUCAAAUGGAACUACUGCACAAGCUCUUCCCUUUUCUUGGCACUAGUUAGAUCCUUUUUUUCUUCUUCUUUUUCCUCUUUUUUUUUUUUUUUUUUUUAUUUUAGCUUCUGCACUCUUUUUUAAUUUUUGAGAUCUNUUUUUUCUAUUUUAGCUUCUGCACUCUUUUUUAAUUUUUGAGAUCUUGGCUAUUUGUCAAACAUUAAACACUUUGGGUUCUUGGCAACUCUAUUAUUUUUCUUUGCCUUUGCGUUCACAUUUAUGUCUUGUAAAUUUAUAUGGAGAUUAUUUAUGUAAUCGAUGUUCUCGGUUAUUGACUCAUCAACUCAGAGCUUCUGACUUUUAUUUGUUAGAGAGAGUUGGGUUUCUGAUGCAUGCAUGUGUUGUUCAUUCGACACAGUUAUUCAGUUAUGGAUUGAUCUUUCCUAAUUUUUGGUGUACAAGAAUGUAAUAUGUAACUGGUUUUGUUGGGCCGGCGCUUUUUUAGCAGAGGAUUUGGCCUCAUUUUGUUCAAACAGGAAAGCUACAAGAGGUAAAAGCAACAAAAAAACUCUGAUAUAAGGUAUGAGUGCUUCUUUGAACAGCUUUAGAAAAGUGCAACUUUCAUAUAACCUUCACUAGGGUAAAAGAGUCCUACACAUAUAUAUUUGUUAUCCGAACCAUCCAUUCAUUUUUUACAAUAUGACGAUCGGUAACUACGUACAUCGCAUUCACUGUACUGAUACAUCUAACACAAACGACAAUAUGAUGGUGCACCAGUAUUUCAUUGUUACGUCAGAACCUAGUAGUACUUUCUUAUUUCGUAGUCGACCUGCUCGCGCUUGAACCGGUUCUGAACAUAAGAUAUGUAAGCUGCAGCUCUCUCAUCGAUGCUGUCGUCGCCAAUUUGCUUGAGAGCAAGCUCAUCCUCUGAACCGCAGCUCAUCGAUGCAGUCGUAGGAGGCUUAACCAUGGUGCUUACUUGCACCGGAGCACUCUUCGGUGCUCGAUACAAGGACAUCGUAAGAUAUGAACGCUGCUCACGCUUGAACCGGUCCUGAACAUAGGAUAUGAAAGCUGCAGCUCUCUCAUCGACGCUGUCGUCGCCAGUGACCCCUCCAGCAUUACCUAUUUCAUUAACACUAGGAAGAUCAAUUCCUUCCUUCUUUACAGAAGAAGCCUUUUGCCUGAGAGCAAGCUCAUCCUCUGAACCGAAGCUCAUCGAUGCAGUCGUAGGAGGCAGAGGAGGCUUAACCAUGGUGCUUACUUGCACCGGAGCACUCUUCGGUGCUCGAUACAAGGACAUCGUAAGCUUCCCUUUGAAGCCUCUUCGCAUGCGAUCGCUCUCCACUGGUUCUUCGAUUUUUGUGGCCUCUAUUGUAUAUAUAAUGGUGGUUGCUCUCAAAGGGGAAGUUCUAUGUAUAGGUAUAUAUAGAGAGAGAAGUUGGGUAGGUAGAUAUUCUCCUAUUUUGAGAUCGGCAAAGUUGUAAAUAUUUAUAUAAUUAUAUUUUUUUUUCCGGGACUUACUUGGAUGCAUAAAUAUCUUAAUUUGUAUACUCAUAUCUUUCCAAAGGGAUUGUAUAAUUGGUUAAUAUAGUGUACUAAAAUAUAUCUUUCCCAGUGAUGCAUAAAUAACUCCUUUUCAGCCAAGUAAGCCAUUUAGUUCAGGCCACAUCUCUAGAAUAAGAAUCUAUAUAUAUAUAUAUAUAUAUAUAUAUAUAUAUAUAUAUAUAUAUAUAUAUAUAUAUACAGGCACUACCUUAGAAAUAAUCAUCCAAAGCAAUGCUCAUUAGUAUCUGUUAAUGGAAGGACGAAAUGAUAAGGUGAAUGUCCUUCUCACUCCCUGCUGUUGGAAUAAAGGGAUGGUCCUCUUUCGUUUUUGCGUCUAUCGGUCCCCAUGCUCCCAAGUAUAACUAUAGUCUAGUCUUUUCCGAAAGAGGACAUAUUAUUGCCUAAAUCUGGUCCUUUGAUCACAUCAGUCAUGAACCGCAUAGUUGAUCUGUCCUACUAUUCAUCUAGAGUCUAUCUACAUUGGAAAGUUAUUUUGAUUGAAAGGUAUGGCGAUCGAAAAUAGUGAUAUGGUCGAUGACGAUUUCAUAUAUAUAUAUAUAUAUAUAGUCCACGACUGAUGUAGUGGAUUAGGUCGGCACAAAAUUUUCCAUUGAUCAAGAGGGUUCUAGCCUUCUAGGUGCCAUCCAACUUUAUAUUUACCAUCUCAUGGUAUGUAAAUUGUAAGUGCUCCACCUCUUGGCAUGGCCAUUCAUCCAACUAUGUAUAUAUAGAGAUCUCUUUUCUCUUUGUGUGUGUGUGUGUGUGUGUGAGAGAGAGAGAGAGAGAGAGAGAGAGAGAGAGAGAUCCCAGUAUGCCACUAGGUAUUGUGGAUUCCAUUUGUUUGUGAUCUGAGUAACCAGGUCUAACCAAUCCACUUCCUAGCUUUACAUGCCAAAAGGUGAGGUGCUUUGUGCAGUGAAAGGUACUUCCACUUAUUAACCUCCCAAAUGCUCCAGCAACCCCCCACCCCCCUACCCCUUUUCCUUGACCAAGAAUCCAAUUGACUUGCACCCCCCUUUUCCUUGACCAAGAAUCCAAUUGACUUACCCUCUAGCCUAUUAUUAAUGUAAUAUACUUAGAAUAUUAUUAUCCUCAUAAGCUACCACUACAUUCGAAAAAAAUCUGAAAGGGGUACAAAAUAGAAUAAUAGAAAUCAUUCUUUCUCCUGUGACUAUAGUUUCAACCACCAUUUUAUAGCAUUUGAGGAGAAGGGGUUCAAACUUCAAAACACUUUCAAAUUCUAAAUUGGUACUACGUGGGUUAUAUUUGGGUAUGAUUUAAUCCAGAAUUAUUAAUUGGCCCAAAUUUAAACCCACACAGUUGGGCCUCUCGCUAGGCCCGAUUUGGAACUAGAAUCACGCAACUACUACUAUAUGAAUCUUAACUUUUUUUUAUUUUUCUUGUGUGCUUUUUUAUUUACCUCAAAUGUAAGUAAAAUUUUGAAUUUUGUAUCAAGGGAAAAGUGCAUCGUCACCCGAAUUAAAGAAUCAUUUGAACAACGGACUGUCCCUAGCACAAGUGGCAAAAGGAUUUGAUAGUUAGUAUCUGAGACCCAUGAUCGAAUCCUAAAUAAUUCACAUUUUCUACUAAAUUUAUUUCUAAAUAAAAUAAACGAAACAUGUAGUAUAUUAUUUUUCUCUCAAAAAAAAAAAAUCAUUUGAACGGUACAUCCAAUUUACAUGCAAUUAAUAGUAUUCAAGGAAAAUUAGAAGUACAUAAAAUUAUUAUUAUUAUUAUUUUAAUCCGUCAACGAGAAACAUUCCCAUUGGCUCGUAUACAAACCAUCAGCUUUUAGCGUACUAUACUCCGUACGUAAGCUCCCGCGGAUGCGUACGGAACAUAGAACCCCCUCGUCCCAAUUAAUAGAUGAACGGUAGAGAUUAAAACGAUUACUUUGGACGGUGGAUCUCAUGCUCCCGCAUGCGCCACCAUCCGCACCACACUCUCGUCGGAAUACCCCCUACGUACCAAAAAGUCCACGCAGGCGUAUUACAAGGUUCGGUCACAUGGAUGAUGUACCUACGCACGGCACCAACGAACAAAAGUUUCGCGUACACCCGGUCUAUGAGUAAACAUCAUACACCAAUAUUCAAAUAUAUGUAUAUAAAAAUUAGCAAAUUUACCGAUCGUUUUUAAAGCAAGUGGCAAAGGACUUGAUGGUUGGUACCCGAGAUCCAAGUUCAAAUCCUAGUUGAUUCAUAUUUCUAGCUAAGUUUAUUUCUAAAUAAAAUAAACGAAGCGGAUAGCGUGCUACCUAUCUCUAAAAAAAAAGCAAAUUUGCAAAUCAAAUAAUAUCUCAUUUUUAUGACUUCGACAAUAUCUGAAUAACAUUUUUCGAAACAAAUUUUACAGGGACUAUUUCAACGCAAACACUGUCUCAUCCAUCGCCUAUCAUGCCGGUAGCGCAAAUCUCAAAGCCGCAUGAAAUUAGUAGAUGGAACGGUCUUAUAUUACAAACUGUUCCAACCACUUUCUUUUUCUCCUGUUCUUUAUUAUUAUGAUAUUGAAUUAAUGGUUUUCUGAGUGUGGUGUAUGGAAUGUAAGGCUACACCAGAUGCAGGAGAAUUUCUCCGCCAAUGGAAAUCAUCGUGGCCUCCCCUCCUCCCGUGCCGACACGUAGCGCGUGUGGGCCCCCGCCGCUUUAAAUACACACCCUCCGCCUCUCAACCAAUCACCAUCCCGACCCGCAUACUAUGCCCCUCACGUAACCCCAUUCGCACACCCAUCCCCACGCAACGAACCUCUGCGACGGCGAAAUCCACCGUAGGACUCAAUCUCGACGGCCCCAGUCCCUGCAUCCGCAUAAGUACUUCUAUGCGGACGCCAACGUAUGAAGAUAGAGUAAGAGAGCGAGCAUGCGAUGUUCUUGGGUUCUUCCCUGUUACUAUAAAUAGCAAAGUGGGGGUGUGUGGUGGGGGAGAAAAAGAGAAGAAGGGCUUCUUCUUCUUCAUAAUCACUUCCCCCUUUCUCCAUUCUCCGCCAUUAAUCACCUCUUCUGUAGAGAGAGAGAGAGAGAGAGGAGGAGGAGGAGAGAGAGAGAGGAGGAGGAGGACGACGAGGAGAUGGGGAGGGGGAGGGUGGAGCUGAAGAGGAUAGAGAACAAGAUCAAUCGGCAGGUGACCUUCGCGAAGCGUCGCAACGGGCUUCUGAAGAAGGCGUACGAGCUCUCCGUGCUCUGCGAUGCCGAGGUCGCCCUCAUCGUCUUCUCGAAUCGGGGCAAGCUCUACGAGUUCUGCAGUAGCCCUAGGUAUCACUGAUUUAUUAGUACUACGUCGUCGAUCUCCAACUCUCUUUGUCGAUUCGAUUUCAUUUAUAGUUGUUUUUUAAAAUUUAAAAUUGGAGAUAAAUUAAAAAGAAAAAGAAAAAAAAUGCUCAUCUAAGUAGUACUAGCUAGUAAGAAAGGUUGAACUCGAAAAUUCUCAGUGGAGAAGCUUCAUGCAAGUUUAUAUAUUUAGCUUCAUGUUUCACAAGUUUAGAAAUUUAGUAAAACUCCGAGUUUUAGGUUCAUUAUUUUGGCGUGUGAAUGUUAGUCAUUUUCUAGGUCUACUUUCUGUUGGGUUAAGUUGGUAUAAAAGGCAUUUUAAAGCGUCGGUGCCGGUGUUAAUUUGAUGAUAAUAAUAGCAGUUCAGUUUUGAGUACAAAAGAUUUGUUGAAUAUAUUCUUAUUUGUAAAUUAUAUAGUAUUUGAAAAGCCGUAACCUGGGAGAAGAUUAGAUCUAUUUAAAAAACAAGAUCUCUACUGUGUCAAGACUCUAAACACAGAGAUAAAUUGUUUGCUUCAUUAUAUCAUCGAUUUGGUGAAGAACCGUUAUUAUAUGGUAAGGUCUUAAGCUUUUUUCUAUUGAAAUUUCAUAGAUUAGCAACGAUGAAGCUCUCAAAAUAACUAAUAAAAGAUGGUAGGAUCUAAUUCUCUCUUGCUAUCCAAUUGUUCAAGGUUUUAGGCUUGUACGCUUUUCAGAUCUUUUCGUGUUUUGGUAACUUAAAUUAAAUUUGUACAUCUAUCUUUGAAUUGCUCAAGAAUGAGUUGAAGCCAAGUAAUUAAUCUUAAGACUUCAGAAAUUUUGAUAACUUGGACAACUUAGACAGGAGAUUUUUACCCAUUCUUUACUACUAUUUAUUUGCUUAUUAUUUUUGCUUCUUAGUUGUUGCUCUUUGUUCCUUAAUCUCAAAAUUUUGAAAGAAUGAACAGUGAGAAAGUGAAAUUUCAAAAUGAAGAAAUAGUGUAAUCUCAUUUGGAACAACAAUCUAAGAGCAAAAGGGUGAGUCAGUUUUGCUUGACUAGCUAGAGUUUUUGUCAAAGUGCUAUUUGUGUGAAUCUAUUUAAAGAAACACUAACAAUACUUCCGUAGGAAUUCUUUUAACAAAAUCGUAUUGUUGAAGUAAAAUUUUCAAGUUAGAACUUUUAUUUACAUUUGAAGACCUCAGACUAGAAGCUUAGCUCACCUUUCCUUUCUAAACUUCUUAUUUUCAAUUUUUUUUGUUAGUUUUACAAGUAAAAAAAAUGUUCUGGAAAAAUUUAAGUUAUUUGGUUUGAAUUGGAUUAAUCCAAUCGAUUUGUCGUGUCAAUUCAAUUUGUACUAAAGUAUAUAUUCAACACUAGUCCUUCACAAAUGAAUUCCUUUGAGCACAAGCAUAAGAUACCUAGGAGUUAAUUUACAAGUACAUGGUGGACACUCAGUCAGCACACAGCUAAGGGCUCAAGUAGUAUUCAACACUAGUCCUUCACAAACGAAUUCCUUUGAACACAAGCAUAAGACACCGAGGAUUUAUUUACAAGUACACAGUUAACACUUAGUCACCGCACAGCAAGGGCUCCAGCUCUCUCUCUCUCUCUCUCUCUCAUUGUGAUUCUUUAGGAUCGGUUGUUUUAUGAAGAGCUUUGAAUAAGCAUUAAUUCCUAGGUCUGUAUGAGUUGUAAUUCUAUAACUACUCAAUACAGAGCUCACCUUUUUAUUUUGCUACACAUUUUAUCAAUUUAUGUUUUUUUUUUAAAGCAAAAAUGAAAAAGGAGUUAGUAAAUCUUAAAGUUUUUGGAUGGAGAUUGUAGACAUUACAACUUUUUUUUUUUGUUAUAGACUUAGUAUGUUUCUUUUCAAAAUUGUGUCCUUUGUCAUGAUUAAGUUUUUUCUUUAGUAACUGUAACCUUAAAACCCCUCAUGAGAAGUCCAAUCGCUGUGGAAUAGUGUCUUAUCAUGUAUUUUGUACCAACCUAGUAACUUCGGGCUGUCUAGUAAUAGAUUUUCACCACUGUAAACUGAUUCUCUCCUGCUACGUACCCUUUGUUGUACGUCAAAAAAGGUUGCAUCUGAUGACUUCAGUGAGACCUUUCGCUUUGUCUCUUGGCUUUUAGGCCUUGUGGAUCACUGUUUGCACCUGUACCUUUCUGUCUCCCAAUGGGAUGUGAGACAAAAAUAAAAAAAACCACUCUAGAACGUUUUUAUUGUUUUAGAUAAUUAUAUAUCAAGAUAGUUCUUUGUUAGUAUAGUAAAAAAGUUUCAAAACUUUGGCUUUCCCUGUGAAUCGAGACUAUAUAUGUUCUUCAGGGAUCUUUACUUAUAUCACAUGUGCAGUGCGCACGCGCGCACACAUCGAGAGAGAGAGAGAGAGAGAGAGAGAGAGAGAGAGAGAGAGAGAGAGAGAGAGGCAUCUAACAUCAAAUAACUUAGACAAAGGUCUAGUUUGAAAUUGAAGUGUGGCUCCCUUUCAUAGUUUGGAAAGCCAAAAAAAUUUUAAGUUUUUUUUUUUUUUUGGUGUUUCCUUCCACCAAUAAUAUCACUUUCUUCUCUAGUAGGGGUUCCAUCACCACAUUGCAUAUUGGUGUAUAACGCCCCAAUAGUCCCACAUUGGAUGAGAUACUGAUUCCAAUCAGUUUAUAUAAGGCCUACACGCUAAUAAUAAUAACUGGGCUUAAGCAUUUUGGUCCGAUGGUUUUGGGCGCAACAAGUUAUUGUUGUUGGUGGGUAGGGUUGUUACAUUUGGUAUCAGAGCCGAAUAUCAACCAGAAGUGUGAGAGCUAAGUGCUAUGCGUAACAAAGUGCUACACCAACGGGUUUGGUGGGAGCUACCUCUUGAACCCGUGUUCCCACCUGUAUAAUAAUAACUAGGCUUAACCAUUUUGGGCCGGUGUUUUCGGCCCAACGAGUUAUUAUUGCUAGCGGGUUGGGUCAUUACAUUUGGUAUCAGAACCGAAUACUAGCCGGAAGUGUGAGAGUUAAGUGCUAUACAGGCAUGAUCUGGUUUGGACCCUACGAGGACAUUAGGGUUUUAAACGGGGGAGUUCAUAACGUCCCAAUAGUCCUACAUCGGAUGGGAUACUGAUUCCGAUCAGUUUAUAUGAGGCCUACAUGCUAGUAAUAAUAACCGAGCUUAAAUAUUUUAGGCCGGUGGUUUGGGCCCAACGAGCUAUUAUUAUUAGCGUGUCGGAUCGUUACAUGUGGGAGGGAAUAAAGCUGCAAAAUACUUUUAGCUUUCCAAAUUAUGAAUGCGCAUGCUUUUGAGUUUUGACAGGACGAUGCUGCUUCAAUGUUGAUUUGCAUAGAUAUAUAAUAUUGCUCAAAAUUACAAUUUAGAAGUCCCAUACUUGUACAUCUGACUGUUAUAAAUAAACAUUAAAUCAUGAGUUAGUUUUACUAAAACAUAUUAUCAGACUUCUAAUUCUAAAACUUGCAAAGAUCAUCACAAUGUUCAAUGGUUUUGGUUUUGAUUUUAGGUCUCUCUAUUUGGCUUUCACAUUUGUAUACUAAAUGUGAGAGAUGUGCUCAGUUAGAUGUAAUGAAGGUAGAAAAGUUAAGUUCUGAGAACUCGACUUGAUACUGUUGAGGGGAAAGUUAUAAAACUACAAGGAGGGUUCUUCUAUUAAUCUGAAACAUUACUUUAUAAAAUUUUACUUUCUAUUCAUUCCAGCCAAAAAAUUAUUUGAAGUACUCGCACAAAUUUGAAACUGUACUACUGCCUACUGCUUAACUCUAACCAAACUAAAUGUCCCUUAAGCAUUAUAUAUGAAUGUCAAUGAGGCUUCUACCAAUUUAUCUUCAUCAAAUCAAAAUUCAUAUCCGUCUACUUAGUAUCCUCAUAUUAAUGAUAGCAUUGAGUUCAGUGAAGUCCAUCCUUAUAACAUUUCUCGCCAACUCAUAAUUUCUCUAGCAUAUCUAAAAGAUUUCUAUUCUCUUCCUUUGCAGCAUGCUGAAAACACUGGAAAGAUAUCAAAAAUGCAGUUAUAGUGCACCAGAAAUGAGUACCCAAUCAAAAGAAGUUCUGGUAAGACUCUCUUGAUCUUUUAACCAUGUUACUGGGUAUCGCUGUUGUCAAUCUAUAUCUUCGUAUCUUUGUUACCAGAAUUUCCAACUAUAGUUAUAUAAUUUUUUUAACUUAUUUACUUGGUGAAAAAUAAAUGUAAACUGUAGUUGUAAAUUUUUGAAUUUUAUACACAAUUUAGAACAAUGUGCAGUGCUUAUUUAUCUAGCAUUCUAUAAUCAAGUCAUGAUACACCAUAAUAUCCUUAGUUGUUGGGAGAAGAAAGAGAUCUAAAUUCUCCCACUAUGCAAGAUCAAAUGGAAAUGACCUAAAGUAGAUUAAUUCCAAUCUUACUACACCAUAAAAAGAGCAAUAAUAAAGUAAAUAUAAACCAACCAAAAAAUCAAACACCAAAUUUACGUGGAAACCCUAGAAAGGGAAAAAUCAUGGAGCCACCUCCAAACAACUCCACUAUAUGAAAUGAGAUGAGUACAAUUCCUCUCUAGUUACUACUAGAGACAUGGAUUACAAGAAUCAAAGCUAUUGCUCCAAAUAAAGAGAAAUAUUGGAGAGAUCUCACCACCAAUGUUGCUUGUGAAACACCUCCCAAGAAAACCUCCCGGCAAGGUAAUCGGGCUCCUUCGGCUUCCCCACGAACCCGGCUUCAAAAGCUUCUCUAACAAGCCUAACAAUGGUGGCCUCCAAUAGCUUCUUCUUCUCUUUUCUUUUGCAAGAGAAAACUAGAGAACUUCACUUCUCUCUCUAUCUCUCAUCCCAAGCCCUAAUCUCUUAAGUCAUAUAAAUAAGUGGAGAUGAAUCUUGGCCCAACUAGUUAGCCCAUGAGCCCAAAUGGCUCCAACAUAACCCAACAAAAUGGGUCCAACAAAAUAUGUGCAAUUUUGCACAUAACUCCCUCAUGAGGAGGGACACCACAACAAACUUUCCCUCACGACUCAUGAGGAGAGUUUUCUAUCCAAGCAAAUUGUCAUCCCGGCCAUACUUGUAUAUAGCUCAUGCUUCUCCUUAGAUAAAGCCUUUGUCAUCAUAUCCGGAGCAUUUUUAUUGGUGUGGACUUUUUCAAGUGCCAACAACUUCUUCUCAAGAACAUCGCGUAUCCAAUGAUACCUUACAUCAAUGUGUUUACUUCUAUAAUGAAAACUUAAAUUUUUGGACAAGUGAAUGGCACUUUGACUAUCACAAUAGAUAACAUACUUACUUUGCUUUAGCCCAAGUUCACCGAUGAACCGCUUCAUCCAUAACAUUUCUAGCAAACUUCGGUGAUAGUAAUGAAUUCCGCUUCCAUAGUAGAUAAGGCCACACAUUUUUGUAAUUUUGAUUGCCAUGAUAUAGCUCCACGGGCAAAAGUAACCAAGUAGCCCGAAGUAGACUUUCUUGAGUUGACAUCACCGGCCAUAUCCGCAUCCGUAUAGCCCUCUAGUAUGGGUUCCCCCUUUCCAAAACAUAAACAUAAUUUUGAAGAACCUUUAAGAUAUCUUAAAAUCCAUUUCACCGCCGCCCAAUACUCUUUGCCGGGAUUUGCAAGAAAUCGACUAACUCCACUAACUGCAUGUGCUAUGUCCGGCCUCGUGCACACCAUGGCAUACAUUAAGCUUCCAACCGCCGAAACAUAAGGAAUGUUUCUCAUUUCCUCGUUUUCCUUGCUACUUGAUGGAGAUUGCUUGGAACUCAAUUUAAAAUGAAAAGCAAGUAGUGAACCAACUAUUUUAGCAUUAAACAUACCAAAUUUUGUAAGCACCUUUUCAAUGUACCUUUCUUGUGACAACCAUAGUGUUCUAACUUUUCGAUCACGAUACAUUCUCAUGCCUAAGAUUUGUUGUGCCGGACCCAAAUACUUCAUAGAAAAGGCCUUACUCAAUUCUUGCUUCAACCAAGAAAUCUUUUUGACAUCUUUACCAACAAGUAACAUGUCAUCAACAUAUAAAAGAAGUAUGAGAAAAUCAUCAUCACCAAAUUUUUGCACAUACACACAAUGAUCACAAUUAGAUCUUGUGUACCCAUGAUUUAUCAUAAAAGAGUCAAACCUUUUAUACCAUGCUCUAGGUGCUUGUUUUAGGCCAUAUAGACUUCUUUUUAACCGACAAACCAAAUGCUCUUUACCAUUGACUUGAAAACCUUCCGGUUGUUCCAUGUAUAUCUCCUCCUCCAAGCUUCCAUGAAGAAAUGCCGUCUUUACAUCCAUUUGCUCAAUCUCCAAAUCCAUACAAGCGGCUAAGCACAAAACAAUCCGAAUAGAUGAUAUUUUUACCACCGGAGAGAAGAUCUCAUCAAAGUCAAUACCCUUCUUUUGUGCAAAACCCUUCACAACCAAUCUUGCCUUGUAUCUUGGUUGUUCAUUCUUUUCCUCAUUCUUCAAUCUAAACACCCAUUUAUUUUUGAGUGCUUUCUUUUCUUUUGGCAAAAAAACCAAAUUAUAGGUGCAAUUCUCAUGCAAAGAGUUCAUCUCCUCUUGCAUUGCUUCCAACCAUUUCUCUUUGUCUUUACUAAGAAUAGCCUCAUUAAAGCUCUCUGGUUCUCCCCCGUCGGUAAGUAACACGUACUCAUUUGGGGAAUAUCUCAUUGAUGGUUGCCUCUCCCUUGUUGAUCUUCUAACAUGUACAUUGGUGUCUUCAUUUGGAGCACUAACAUCAUCAACACUUGUGCCACCAUCAUCUUCAUUUGCACCUCCAUCAUUUUGAACAUCACUAGUAUUUUGUUCUUCUCCAUUUGCAUCUAGCUCCUCAACUCCCCCAUCAUCAAGCACUAUGGGUGGAGAUCUUGUAGUAGAGACCGGUAACUCAUCAUCAACACCAUUUGAUGCAUCUCUUGGUUUUUUUUUUUUUUAAUUUCUUCACAUCUUCAAUAUUUUGAUAUUCUAAAAAGACAACAUCUCGGCUUCUAACAAUUUUCUUCUUUUCGAGAUCCCCUAAUCUAUAACCAAAUUUCUCAUCAGCAUAACCUACAAAAAUACAUGGUAAAAUCUUUUCAUCUAACUUUGACCUUUCUUCCUUUGGAAUAUGCAUAUAAGCCUUACAUCCAAACACCUUUAUAUGAGAAUGAGAGAUAUUUUCUUGAGUCCAUACCCUUUCCGGAAUAUCACCAUCCAAAGGGAUUGAAGGAGAUCGUUGAUCAAGUAAACCACCGUUCGAACCGCUUCCCCCCAAAAUGUCUUGGGCAAUUUAGACAUAGAUAGCAUACUUCGAACCUUUUCAACAAUAGUUCGAUUCAUCCUUUCCACUACUCCAUUAUGUUGCGGUGUACGUGGAACGGUUUUUUCAUGCCGAAUGCCAUACUUGUUGCAAUAGAAAGCAAAUUCUUUAGAGGUAUAUUCUCCUCCAUUAUCGGUCCGAAGACACUUCAAAAGCUUCCCCGUCUCUCGCUCCACCUUGGCAUGAAAUAUUUGAAAAUAAUUAAAAACUUGAUCCUUGAACCUCAAGAAAUAAACCCAAACUUUUCCAGAAGCAUCAUCAAUGAAGGUAAGAAAAUAAACAUUUCCACCAAGAGAUUUGACCUCAAUAGGUCCACAUACAUCGGAGUAGACUAAGUCUAAAAGAUUUCUACUUUUCUUUGAGAUAGAACUUGCAAAAGAAACUCUAUGGUGCUUUCCAAAUAAGCAAUGUUCACAUGAUUUAGAAAACGCACCUUUGAAGUGAGGAAGAAUUUGUUUCCUUGCUAAAAUUUGCAUUCCUUUUUCACUCAUGUGCCCAAGCCUUCUAUGCCACAAAUCCGGCUCCGAAUCAUCCAUAGCCGCAAUAACACUUCCAUCUAUAUGUGCACUUGUUCUAUACAAAGAACAACACUUCUUGCCUCUUGCCAACACAAGUGAUCCUUUAAUGAGCUUCCAAGCACCAUCACCAAAAUAUGAGACAUAGCCUUCGUCAUCCAAGCAUCCCGGAGAAAUAAGAUUAAGACGAAGAUCCGGUACAUGUCGAACAUCUCGAAGGAUAAGCUUUACCCCUAUAUUGGUCUUGAUAUAAAUAUCUCCCAUCCCCACAAUAUAAGAAGAUUCACUAUUACCCAUCUCCACUUGUCCAAAAUCUCCCACUUUGUACAAUGAGAAGAAGUGCUUAUGAGGAGUUGCAUGAAAGAAUGCACCCGCAUCAAUGACCCAAUCAAUAUUUGAAGAAGAAGAUGCAACAUUAAUACAUUCAUGACUACAUGUACCCAUAAUAGCAAUAUCACUAUUAAGAGUUACAAUAGCUCAUUGCUUUCCCUCUUCUUUGGACUUUGCUUCUUCCUUCACUUUGCCCUCUUUUAAAUCCUUUUUGUAUGUCCAACAUACCUUUUUCAUAUGGCCUUUCCUCUUGCAAUAGUAGCAUGUAAUAUAUUUCUUUGAUUUUGACUUACUUCUUGAUUUGUAUCGAUCACCAUAAUCACGGCCCUUUGACCCUCCUCGAUUCUCCGAAACAAGAGCUUGUGAUGUAGAUGUAUCGGAGGCUUUCCUUCUUGUUUCUUCAUUCAACAAACAACUUGUGACAUAACUCAUAGAAACAAUUCCAUCCGGUGCCGAAUUACUAAGUGAAACUACCAAUGUCUCCUAUGAGUCCGGUAGAGAGCUUAACAACAACAAUGGUUGAAGUUCAUCAUCAAGCACCAUCUUCAUUGAAGUGAGUUGGUUCACUAUGCUUUGCACCUCAUUCAAGUGCUCCGAUAUUGGAGUUCCAUCCUUGUACCUUAAAUUCACCAAUUUUCGAAUAAGAAAUGCCUUAUUUCCGGCGAUUUUUCUUUCAUAUAGCUCAUGGAGUUUUUUCCACAAACACUUGGCGGACGUCUCAUUUGCCACCAAAUGAAACACAACAUCAUCAAGCCAUUGAUGAAUAGUGGCCACCGUUACUCGAUCUAGUUUCUUCCACUCUUCCUCGGAUAUAUAGUCCGGUUUACUACUCUCAAGUGGUGUAUGUAAAUCUUUACAAAAGAGAAGAUCCUCCAUUGUCGGUUUCCAAAUAGCCCAAUUAUUGUUCCCAUUGAGUGACACCAUUCUACUAGAGGUACCCGACUCCCUCUUGAUCUAUGCACAAACCCAAAUAGUUUGGUUCUGAUACUACUUGUUGGGAGAAGAAAGAGAUCUAAAUUCUCCUACUAUGCAAGAUCAAAUGGAAAUGACCUAAAGUAGAUUAAUUCCAAUCUUACUACACCACAAAGAGAGCAAUAAUAAAGCAAAUAUAAACUAACCAAAAAAUCAAACACCAAAUUUACGUGGAAACCCUAGAAAGGGAAAAACCACGGGGCCACCUCCAAACAACUCCACUAUAUGAAAUGGGAUGAGUACAAUUCCUCUCUAGUUACUACUAGAGACAUGGAUUACAAGAAUCAAAGCUAUUGCUCCAAAUAAAGAGAAAUAUUGGAGAGAUCUCACCACCAAUGUUGCUUGUGAAACACCUCCCAAGAAAACCUCCGGCAAAAUAAUCGGGCUCCUUCGGCUUCCCCACGAACCCGGCUUUAAAAGCUUCUCUAACAAGCCUAACAAUGGUGGCCUCCAAUAGCUUCUUCUCUACCUCCUUUUCUCCUCUUUUUUUUUGCAAGAGAAAACUAGAGAACUUCACUUCUCUCUCUAUCUCUCAUCCCAAGCCCUAACCUCUUAAGUCAUAUGAAUAAGUGGAGAUGAAUCUUGGCCCAACUAUUUAGCCCAUGAGCCCAAAUGGCUCCAACAUAACCCAACAAAAUGGGUCCAACAAAAUAUGUGCAAUUUGCACAUAACUCCCUCAUGAGAAGGGACACCACAACAUUAGUCGCAUAAAAACUCCCAAUAAUGAACGACAAUUGCUUCCUGAACCUGCUUGUUUAUUUGUUUUUCUCCUUGAACUUAGUUUAUUUAUGUGUGGCUCAUAGAGCCAGGAACAUUAUAAUGAGGUAUCUUAUCUUUUUUCCCCUAAAUAAUACUUUGUAUUAGAGUAUUAUAUGAAUUAUCUAUAAUACAAAGAACAAAAAGCUAAAGCGUAAAAUUUCAGCUACUCUCCUAUAUAUGAUAAUUGAUGUUCUAUGCCAUCUCUACUUGAAAUUUCUAGUUGAUUCAAACAUUACUAAACAUUUGGCACUCUAAUCUUUUAGCAUCCCUGUAGUGAUUAUUAGUACAAAAAUAAUUCAAAAUUGAAAUUUUCUAUCUUCAGCUGAUGCAAAGUAGCUGCCAAGAGUACAUGAAACUGAAGGCGCAUGUAGAGAGUUUACAACGAAGUCAAAGGUGACUUCUCAAUUUUUUGUCUUUCACAAAUGCUUAUCAAAAUUAUCAAUGGAAUUAUUAUUCUUUGACACUAUAGGAAUCUCCUUGGUGAGGAUUUGGGAACACUUAGCAUCAAGGAGCUUGAACAGCUUGAGAAGCAACUUGAUACAUCAUUGAGGCACAUUAGAUCAACAAGGGUAAUAAUGAUUUAUUUAUCUCUCCAAAACAAAAAUCAAAUUGUCCUACAAUUGUCCCCAUGAAAGAGAAGAUCUAAGCUUAUGCAUCAUAUAUAAAACUAAAUCUAUAAUAUGAAUAUUAACUCCUGAUUAGAGAGUAUUUCUCUUGGCUCUUCAAGUAGAAGAUAACAUAAGUAUGCAGGUAUAUACAUAUUUGAAAUUACAGGGUAGCAUUAACUUAGUGAGGUGUCCUAAGUAGUAUUUUCAGCUACAUAUGACUAUUGGCAUCACCAUGUUUUAUUAGCAUGUGUAGCUAGGUUUUAGGAGUACUCCUGCAGUAAAGAGGCCAUUCUGGAAGCCAAGCAAAAAAAAGAACUUAGAAAUUUAGCAUUAUUUUGAAAUUUUGAUCUGAUGGGGCUGUGAUAUUCUUGCAGACACAACACAUGCUUGAUCAGCUUGCCGAUCUCCAAAGGAGGGUCUGCUCAUACCUUACACCACGUUACCGUAUUAAAUUACCAUAUUAAUUCUAUUUAUGAUUUUCAUUUGUAAAUUUUUCUCUACUCUCAUGUUCAGGAGCAGGUUCUUUGCGAAGCAAAUAAAUGCCUUCGAAAACGAGUGAGAGACUUCGCACUGUCCUUCCCUAUAUUUUUCUUAAUUUCUUCUUUACAUGUUAAGAUGAUUCCAAGAUUCUAUAUAUUAAUCGAUGCCAAACCACUGGGAACCCUAAUCCUAACGCAUGGGAGGAAAAGGAUGAGAGGUCACUAUCUAAAGCAUUGGUAACAAUGGCGAUACAGAAAUGAGGAACCCUAGGACGACCAGUUCAUAACCCACAAAGUCACGUCUUUUAUAAUUCUAGAGAGGAAGAUUGGAGCUGUGACUAGCGAGGAUACUGGAUUCAAUUUAAUUAGAUGUUCACAAAGUGUGGAAUCAGCUAGCAUUAAAACCUGAAAUUUAUUGGAGAGUAUGAGCCAAAAAAAAAAAAAGAAGAAAAAGUAGUAGUGUAUGACAUGAAAACACCAGUUAAAAUUCAGUUUAACAAACUGUAAUUAAGAUAUAUUUUCGUACCCCAAAAAAAAAAAAGGUAACUGAGCCUUAAUGCAGCUGGAAGAGAGCAGCCAGGGCAGUGUUGAGCUGCAAGUGUGGGAGCACGGCGCAAACCAGCUUGGAGGAGGAUACGACCGCCAACAGUCGCCUCAGGAGCCGCACGGCAACGGAUUCUUCCACCCCUUGGAGUGUGAACCCUCCCUGCAUAUCGGGUAUGCUUAUUAUUAUGCCCUUAAUUCAAGGAUAAUAUUCCAAUCUAAGAUUUGCAAAAGGAUUUCAAAGAAGCACCAAUUAAUGUUGCAAAAUACGAAAGAAAGAUCAUGGUUCUUGUGCGAAAAUGCCUUUAAUAUAUCUUUUGUUUUUCAUGUUUACUCCAGGUACCAUCAUGAUCAGAUGCCUGGCACAAGUGUGGCAACCUUCAUGCCUCCAGGAUGGUUACCUUGAAAACUUGAACACUUCACCUCUUUAAGAAGAAGUGUAUGAACGAAGAAGCAAAUUCAGAACUAAAAAGCAAAUAUUUAUAUGUAUUUUGGUGUGGCCAAACAAACUUUUUUUAUUUUUAGUUUUCCUAGGUAAGCUCCAUCUUGUUGUACUUGCUAGAGCCUGUUAAUUGGUGCUUAAUUAUAUAUUUCUCAGUAUAAAACUGCGGUAGCUUAAUUUAUGGCUACUAUAUAUGUAAGUUUAUGUGGUAUGAACCUCAGCAUCAAAAGGCUAUUAGAUUAUGAACAACUCUCUUUGUGAUGUGUAAGGUUAUAUCAUGUGGAGUAAUCAACAACUCUUGUAAUAUUAUUAUAACUCACAUCCAACACUUUAUAUUUUGAUACUGAGCAAUACCAUUGGAUAUGAUCUGUACUAUUUGAAAUAUUUCUUCAGCACACGAAAUAAAACAUGUGUUUAGUGAAAUAUGUCCAAUAUUUUUUUAAAAAUUCAUUAUCAACAUUCUUCUAUUCAUCUACCUUCAUUUAGGUAAUUAAAUUGCUUGCCACUUGAAUGUAUCUUUUCUUAGAGAAAACAAAAUUCUCGUGGUAAUGUAGAAUCGCGACAAAGAAUUUUCCAGUUCAAAACUCAAAUCCAAGCUAAUGGAGAGUACGCGGCUGUAGAAAAUUAAUAUCAUCCAUGUUGCCUGUGGUCCACACACAAAUUUAUUACUAGUGUUUGAAAAGACGUGAGGGGCACAGAGGUGCUAAAACCUUCUGGAGCUAGGGGCGAGACGCGCGCCUCAAGAAAAUGAGGCGCGCAUGUAAUAAAAAUAAAAUAUUCUUAGUAAUUAAACCUACUUUAAUUUGAUAUUCUAUAUGUAUAAAAAGAAUCUAAAAUAAUCAUGCAAAAAUAACCAUAAAAAAUAUAAAGAAAAGUACAGCAUAUAGGUUUUCAAAUUUAAUAUAUAUAUAUAUAUAUAUUUUUUAAUUUUCAACUUAAAAUUUAAAAGUGAUUGUGCCGCCGAUGCUCAUAUUUAGUUGUUCUUCAAGCAUCAUUCUCAUCCUCAUCUUCAUCGCUUUGAGCUUAAAAUUUAAAAUUGAUUGUGCUGCUUAUUCCUGUUGCCGUUGCUGUUGGCCUACCUGCUGCCUGUUGCUUUCUGUCGCUGUCACUGCUGCUGGUUGAUGUUCAAGAGGGAUGGGAUGGGAUGGGAUGGGAUGGGAGGUGGGAGAACACGAGGGGGAGAAGGACGGCUCACUUUUUAAGUUCUUUUUGUGUUAUUUUUAGCGUUUCUUGAAAUUUACAAACGAGUUAAAAUAUAAUGAUCAGACUCAGAACCCUAUAUGACGAGAACUUGAACCCCAUAACUCUCAAAACUUAAAACAUUACGAGGUGCGCCUGAGGAGCGCCUUGGAGCCUAGGUGCGCACCUCAGUGAGUGCGCCGCGGCUCACUGUUGCUGAGGCGCUCACCUCCUCAGGUGUUCUUUUUCAAACACUGUUAUUGACUAAUACGAAGCAAAUAUUUCAUAGGUUUCUUGAAAUGAAUAUUGAUCAGCUGAAUGAUAAUGAAGUAGGGCAAGAGAAAUGUUAGAUUUGUUAUUUCUAACGCGGCACUAGCACAAGGUAUGUUAGCGUCUUCGCCGUGCAAUUCUCACUAGGCCUAUUUCACCGACUUAAAUGAGUGGCUUCGGCCAGGACUCACAAUGUUGCUACAUGAUUAUGCAGCAAUUUUUCAAUCAUCCUUAUUUGUUGCUCUGUUCAGCUUUUUAGUCUUUCGUGCGCAUGCUUGGAAGAUAGAAUACAAAUCCCUCAACUAAAAACUGUCAUCACUCUCCCUUUUCUGGACUUUUCUUCUUUAAAUAAGAUGCAAUUAAACUGUCUCAUAAUCUCUUCUAGAUCACAUUAUCUGAACCUGCAACAAAAGAGAGAAUAUUACGUGACAGUUAUCUAAUAUCGCAGGAGCAGGGUACAUAUUAGCCGGACAGUUAUGUUGAAUAUAAAUGUUACUUUGUCGAUGGCUGUGUAUGCAUUUUUCAUAAAGAGGGGAAAAUUUUUAUAACCUCGAAGAUCGGAUGCUCAUUUAAAUGCACACAACUAGCUAGUGACAACGAACAACCUGAAAUAUAAAGCCUCAGAACAAGUAACAGCUAGCUAAAUCCUGUUUGAGUACAGGUUUAGAAAGGAAAAAAGAGUUCUCUGGCAUUGUAAUGACUAAUGAGUAAAUAAUAAUUCUUUUGACUGCUUUUUAAUUUUUUUUUUUUUUCUUUGAAGUUAAGAAAGAUGUCGUUUCGCGUCUGACUAGGUUGCAUUGCAGGAUAACUGACAUACAUAGCCCAGUUGACUCUGCUGAUGCGUUCAAAAUCUGAAUUUCUGUUUUCUUUUCCUCUUAGGCUUCGUUUGGAAUUGCGGCCGGGAGAUUAUGUUACGUGCGGUAAGAAACGAUGAUGGAAAAAUACCCUAUUUGUUUCCGUACGUAAUAUUGCGUUCCGCAUAUUGCGAUUAAUCGGUUACGAUAUAUUUUCUACGGUCCCAUCGGAGAGCACAGAAAUAUAUCCCUACAUACUUUUUCUCAACUCCAUCCUAUUUAAUAGCGUUAGAUAGAUCUCAAUACCAAACUAAGCCUUAUUGUUUGCAUAAUAAGCAAUGCAUAUAUGAUCAUCUUGCUGUUGAAACAGGGAAAACAGUGGCGCGAAGAUAGGGAGAAACUGUUGCAGUGCAAUAGGGAAACACUGAUUGUCUGUAUAAACCUGCAGCAGAGCAAGGAGAAGAAUCAGUGAAGAGUUACUGAAAUGACUGAAUCCUUCAGCANUUGGAAACUUCACUUCAGCAGCAUUUGGAUGGCCAAAUUAAGAAAGUGUAUAUUAAUCAUCUCAUUGCUCAUAUUUUAAGUUGCCUUUAUCCUGGGCAAGCUUUUGAUAAAUAUAUACAUUCAGGAGAAGAAUACUAACAUUCCCAAAUGUUUGUGAGUUGUAGUCCAAGAUUCAACUUUGUAACUGUAAUAAGAUUACCUUCCUAUUCCAAGCAUAUUUCUCUAUGCCGGUGAACUCGAACUACGAUUCAUUACAGCUAAAAUCAUAGAACUUAUCUAAACUAUGAAUCAUUCUGAAUUGGCUACAUAAUUUUUCAAAACUUUGACGUCAGUCAAUGACAUAUUGACUUCGAAAUUUAAGCUAAUCUUACUUGAAUAAAUUUGUAGUUGCAAGAACUGCGUGCAUGAAGUUAUACGAUGCAUUCAGAUUUUAAAGUCAAAAUAUCGCUGAUUAACUCAAAUUAAACAAACUAAAAGAUUAGAUACUAAAAUCAAAAUUUUAAAAAGUUAAAUAAUCAACUCAAAAUGGUUCAUAAUUCAUGCAAGUUCUGUGCGUUUGAUGAUUUUAGACCGAUAAUUUGUGCUACACCAGCACUGUUAGAGAUAAUGCUAAUGAUAAAAAUUAGAUCAUGAUUAGAUUAUUUGAUCUUAUCUAUUAUUAGAUUUGGUUAUUUAAAUUGUGAUUAAGAUGAAAUCAAAUCAAGAGUAGGAUUUUGCAUAAUUAGUUAUAAAUAGAGAAGCUGGGAUCAUUGUGGCUAAUGAAGCCGGCAUUAAUUAAGUUCAAGUUAAUUAGUGGUCGCCACCACCGUAUGGACACAUGCAUCAAGGUAUGGUUGUUAACUGAUAACGUAUUAAAUUCUUUAAUUUCUCUUCUUUCUCUUUUCUUUUUUCUAUUUUGCUUUCUGUGAAGAUCUCUAUAUAUCAUAACAAGUAUAUAGAACAUAUUUGUUGGAGGCCCACCACGGUAACAAACACACAGUGGCUUAGUGUCACGGACAAAAUGUUUUCCGUUGACUUCUCUUUGACAGUGGCCCAACUUCGCUAGCGGAGCAUGUCGUUAAAGAGACCUGAACCCAACCCACUGUGGGGAGACGAAGGAUUUUGUAACCUUUCCCAUCAAUGAUGAAAACUUAAGGGUUAUGAAACUCUCAUGAGUUAUGGGGUGACUUUUGGGCUUAUGGCUCAUUAUGAGGGCGAGUUAAUAUGUCUCAUAAUGAGAGAGUUAGCGUGUGUCUAGGUUCAUUGUAUUUAGGAGCUUAUAAGUAGUGGGGUUUUGGUUAAGGUCAAGACACACAAGAGAGAGUGUGUGUAUGUGUGGGUUGUAAUCUCUUUUCUAAGUAGUAUAGUACUUAGCUUUUUGAGUGAACUUCUGCCUCUCUCUCUAAGUCAUUUCCUUUGCAUACUUAGUCGUUGGACGCAAAGGUCCGGACUAGCAACAGGAACGAAGACUUGCCCAUCUUCGAGCAGGAAGGCGGGCGCCGCACGGGCUUUGCAAACAGAAACGCUAAGGCCGUGACAGCUUAGGCAGGAAAUCAUGGGACAAGCAUGAUUCAACGGGCUGUAUGACUUACUUUGCAGAGACAUGUAGCAAGUAGUACAUCUUUACAUGCGCUUAAGCGAAUUCGGAGUUACAUAAACACAUGGUUAAUUCUGGAGGAAUAUGUAUUAAUUACUUCAACGCAGAUUCAGAUCUUCGUGGCGUUAGAACUUUUUUAUGGUAAAAUUAAACACGAAAACAAAUACAUGCGUUAAGAGCCUGUUUGGAUACACAGUAAAAUAUCUCCACGGAAUUUAUAAACUGUGGUUUCGGUCUAGAUAAAAUAGAGAAUCCUGCAACUCUAAAAAAUUCCACGGAUUCAAUUUUUAAACUGUUUGGAUACGCAUUGUACAAUUUCACAGGAUUUUUCCAAAUUUUAAGAUUAAAAGUUAAAAUUUAAAAUUUCAAAAAAAAUUUAAAAUUUAAAAUUUGAUAUGUGAAAUGUGAAAUUUUGAAUUUUGAAUUUUAAAUUUGAAAUUUUCAAAUUUUAAAUUAACAAAUUUAAAAUUUAAAAUUUAAAAAUCUAAAUUUAAUUUUUAAAUUUUUAAAUUUUUAAAUUUAAAAUUUUAAAAUAAAAAAUUUAAAAUUUAAAAUUUGAAAUUAAGAUUUUACAAUUUCAAAAUAAAUUUAAAUUUUAAAGUUUAACAUUUUGAAAUUUGAACUAUAUGACUUGAAAUUUGAAUUUCAAAUUUUAAAAUUUGAAAUUGAAAUUAAAAUUUUAUAAUUUAAUUUUAAAGUUAGAAUUUUAAAAAUUUAAAGCUUUAAAUUAAAUUUAAAAUUUAUAAUUUAAAAAUGUUUAAAAUUUAAAAUUUAUUUUUAGUUAAAUUAAAAUUUAAUAUAAAUUCUGAAAUUUUAAAUUUUAAAUUUUAAAUUUAGAAUUUUAAAUUUUAAAUUUUAAAUUUAAAAAAAAUAAAUUUAAAAUUUAAAGUUUAAAAUUUGAAAUUUGAAAUUUAAAUUUGAAAUUUGAAAUUUGAAAUUUAAAUUUGAAAUUUGAAAUUUAAAAUUUAAAUUUGAAAUUUAAAUUUGAAAUUUGAAAAUUUAAAAUUUGAAAUUUAAAGUUUGAAAUUUAAAAUUUAAAAUUUAAAAUUUAAAAUUUUAAUUUAAAAUUUCAAAUGUGAUAUUUCAAAUUUCAAAUUUUAAAUUUUAAAUUUUAAAUCUAUAUUGAAAUUUAAAAUUUUAUGUUGAAAUUUAAAAGUUAGAACUUGAUGCAUUUUUUUAAUAAGGGAGCUCAAGAAUGGUGGAAUUUUUUUCCUUUGGUAAGAGUGGAUUAUAUUUUUACUCUAUUUUUUGGACUAUAGUUUAACUAUACUCCAAAAAUUACGUUAUUUUUUUCCUCCCAAACGCUUCAUAGGAUAUUUUUCCUACCGCCGUAGCAUAGUUUAACUAUGCUACGUUUUCAGGAGUAUCGAAACGGGCCUAAGACAUUCAAAAAAACCACAAUCUCGUUUCGGGCCUGGUAGAAUUUCUAACCAGGCCUUACUUAACUCAGCACGAAAAAGCGAGAGGAAAAAAAUUGGGCCCAAGUCCUGUAAAGCCCAAAUGAAACUUUAGGGUACAAAAAUAUCCAAUUGUAAGCUUUUAUUUCUGAAAUUAAAUACACUUGCCGUUGUGGCACUACUAAGUAAAGGUGGUAAAUUAUUUACUGCUUUUAGAAAUGUAGUGAAUCACUAAUAAUGAUAAACAAUUCACAACAUUCACGUAAAAUAUAUAUUCACAGCACCUUAAUAUUUUGAAACAAAUGGUGAAUAAUUUGUCGUAUGCAGAAAAUGGUGAUUCUAAUUUUAUAAGUAAUAAUUUUUUAAAACUUAUUUUUUAUAAUUAUAAUAUUUUAUGAGUUAUUUUUUAUGAAAAAGGUUUGCAAAUAUUUAGAAUCCAGGGACUCAUUUGUAUAUUCAAAGCACGUAUAUAGAGUGAGACUACUAUGCUAUCGGAAGCAUGGGGCCUUCCGUGCUUCCAGCUCAUUUUUGAUGUUGCGACUUUCGAAUCAUCGAUCGGUUCCGUUAAACUUGAUCUAGAAUAUUUGGAGUACCUAGAAAAUAAAUUUUAUGAUUUUACGAUAUCAUUUGCUUAGUGAACGAAGGAGCUUAAAAUCAACGGCUGAAAAUAAAAAUCUUAUAAAAUGUGAUAAUAUGACAUUAAAAUNCGGCGCGGCCUCAGCAGAGUCGGAGGAUUUGGGUCGAGGCAGGGGAGAGGGGCUCGUUGCCGGCGACGUCGCCGGAGCGGACGAAGGCGACGUCGCCGGGGCAGGGGUGGCGUUUCCGCCUCUGCCGCUCUCUGGGAAGAGAAAGGAAAAAAGAACGACAAAAAAAAAAGAAGAAAGAGAAAAAGGUACAAGGGCAUUUUGGUCAGUUUGCUGAAAAAGCGGACCGAAUCUGCAAAAACGAAAAAGGUGGCCUGAUUUUGCAAAAGCCUAAAAUAAGUGGAUUUUUUAUGCAAAUUGGCCAUCUUUAAUUGAAAAGCUAAAAAAUAAUAUCAAAUGUAAUUAAGAAAAAUAUAUUUAAUAUAUUAUUAUUAUUAUUAUUAUUAAUUAUGGUUAAGACUUGAAACAUUAUUCACAUGGCAACUUGUGAUUUAACGUGAAGCCAAGCUUAAUUUUCGUCUUUACAGUUUUGCAGACGCUUAUUUUAAAGAAUCUGCUGGAAUCAUUUUAAGAAGCUCUGAAGUUAUAUUUUUUUAGGAUAAAAUCGAGAAAUAAUAGUGAUUCAGCUAAAUAUCACUUCUUUUUUCUUUUCUUUUUUUUCGCUUUCUCUUCGAAUUCACUAUUUUUAUUGUCUCUUUAUUAGCUACUAGUUAUUCUCCAUUUCAAUUAGGAUAGAAUAUGAAAGAAUUUGAAUAUUAAGUUUUACAUUAAUAUAUAACAAUUCUUUUGAAGGUUGUAUAUAUAUGUGUAUUUAAUUAUUAUAGUCAUUAAGUUUUUCAGAUUAAUAUAGUAAUCUAAAUUGAGAAAGCCAAAAGUCUUUAAGUAUAAAUAAAGUUUUUUCUCCUAUAACUAUAAUGGCUAUCAAUUUUGUCUUUAAUUUUAACUAGCGAUGUACCCGCACUUUGCCGCGAAUACAAUAGGUAUAUCGUUAAUUAUAUUAUAAAAUAUAGUAUUCUAUUAAAUAUAUACAUUAAAUAUAUAUUUGUAUCAACAUCUCAUUUCACAAUAUAAAAUUUUAUUACAGAUUUUAUCUUUAGGUAUUUGAUAGUUUUUAUUUAAAUUCUUGGUGUUCCGUAAACUUUCAAUAUUUUCUGAAGAAAAAAGAAAAAUUUGUAAUUAGCUUAUUUUUAGGCUAGUUUGUCCAAAAAAUACAUAUCCUUUUUUUUUUAUUUUUUUAAAUUAUUAUUCUUCAACGUCUAUUUAGAUUAUUUUUUGUCGACCCAUGCAAAUAAUAUCGAGAAUUAAAAAUAUUACGUAAAAAGUAGUUACUUGAUUUGUAGGUUUUUCGUUUGACCAGCCUGCAAAGAACAAAAAAUAGGAAGAAAAAGAGUAUCAAAAUAAUUAGUUACAUGUUUUGGAAUGAAUUCGAGAAUGACUUCGUAAGAAUAAUUUAUUUUACUUAAUAAAUAGUUUUCACUAUAUUACAAUCGUUAAAUUUACAAAAUGUCACGAACUAAAAGAUAUAAAUCAAUUAAAUGCAUAUAAAAAAGAAUAAAUUUUCAAAGAAGAAUAUACCUGAUAGAGGAUUGAAAGAAGGAACUACUGUAAAAUGGUUGAAAAUUACCACAAAUGAUAAUUUUUCUAUUUUUUGUUUUACCAAAAGAGUUAAAAAUUUGUAACUAAGCCAUGUAGGAAAAUAAAUUUGCAGGUGUCAACAUAAAAAACCUGCAAGUGGCGAAAAAAAAAUCCAAGUGUCAAAAAAUAAUAUAGCUGUCAGAGCGGGAGAGAGAAGGAGAGAGUUUUGGGGACGUGUCAUUUUGAGAAUCCUCCAAACUCUCUUUUCAUGUCAACAAAUAUGCAAAGAACAAAUGCACCAAAAUUUCCCCUAUGAACCAUAUAUGUAUCGACAAUCAAUUGUCCAUGGUGCAUCAGGAACACCAAAAACAACCCUAGAACACAUGCAGUCCAUUAUGCAGCAGGUGCACAUAAGGUAGCCCGACUAAAUGUCACAACAUAUUAACCUAACGCUACGGUUUACGGUGCAAUAAUCGAAAGACAUGUGACAAUAUUUGAACCUAACUCCACGGACUUUAGUAUAUAGUAAUAGAUUAGAAUGAAAAAUAAAAAAACAUGAGCUUCAAGUUUUAAUAUUUAGCAAAAUAAUAAGAGGCUAUUAUAUAAAUUGAAAGUUCACCACGUGGUGGCUUAUGACUCAUUUGGAAAUCAUGUCUCCCAAUAUAUAUAUAUAUAUAUAUAUAUAUAUAUAUAUAUAUAUUGGGAGACAUGAUUUCCAAAUGAGUCAUAAGCCACCACGUGGUGAACUUUCAAUUUAUAUAAUAGCCUCUUAUUAUUUUGCUAAAUAUUAAAACUUGAAGCUCAUGUUUUUUUAUUUUUCAUUCUAAUCUAUUACUAUAUACUAAAGUCCGUGGAGUUAGGUUCAAAUAUUGUCACAUGUCUUUCGAUUAUUGCACCGUAAACCGUAGCGUUAGGUUAAUAUGUUGUGACAUUUAGUCGGGCUACCUUAUGUGCACCUGCUGCAUAAUGGACUGCAUGUGUUCUAGGGUUGUUUUUGGUGUUCCUGAUGCACCAUGGACAAUUGAUUGUCGAUACAUAUAUGGUUCAUAGGGGAAAUUUUGGUGCAUUUGUUCUUUGCAUAUUUGUUGACAUGAAAAGAGAGUUUGGAGGAUUCUCAAAAUGACACGUCCCCAAAACUCUCUCCUUCUCUCUCCCGCUCUGACAGCUAUAUUAUUUUUUGACACUUGGAUUUUUUUUUCGCCACUUGCAGGUUUUUUAUGUUGACACCUGCAAAUUUAUUUUCCUACAUGGCUUAGUUACAAAUUUUUAACUCUUUUGGUAAAACAAAAAAUAGAAAAAUUAUCAUUUGUGGUAAUUUUCAACCAUUUUACAGUAGUUCCUUCUUUCAAUCCUCUAUCAGGUAUAUUCUUCUUUGAAAAUUUAUUCUUUUUUAUAUGCAUUUAAUUGAUUUAUAUCUUUUAGUUCGUGACAUUUUGUAAAUUUAACGAUUGUAAUAUAGUGAAAACUAUUUAUUAAGUAAAAUAAAUUAUUCUUACGAAGUCAUUCUCGAAUUCAUUCCAAAACAUGUAACUAAUUAUUUUGAUACUCUUUUUCUUCCUAUUUUUUGUUCUUUGCAGGCUGGUCAAACGAAAAACCUACAAAUCAAGUAACUACUUUUUACGUAAUAUUUUUAAUUCUCGAUAUUAUUUGCAUGGGUCGACAAAAAAUAAUCUAAAUAGACGUUGAAGAAUAAUAAUUUAAAAAAAUAAAAAAAAAAGGAUAUGUAUUUUUUGGACAAACUAGCCUAAAAAUAAGCUAAUUACAAAUUUUUCUUUUUUCUUCAGAAAAUAUUGAAAGUUUACGGAACACCAAGAAUUUAAAUAAAAACUAUCAAAUACCUAAAGAUAAAAUCUGUAAUAAAAUUUUAUAUUGUGAAAUGAGAUGUUGAUACAAAUAUAUAUUUAAUGUAUAUAUUUAAUAGAAUACUAUAUUUUAUAAUAUAAUUAACGAUAUACCUAUUGUAUUCGCGGCAAAGUGCGGGUACAUCGCUAGUUAAAAUUAAAGACAAAAUUGAUAGCCAUUAUAGUUAUAGGAGAAAAAACUUUAUUUAUACUUAAAGACUUUUGGCUUUCUCAAUUUAGAUUACUAUAUUAAUCUGAAAAACUUAAUGACUAUAAUAAUUAAAUACACAUAUAUAUACAACCUUCAAAAGAAUUGUUAUAUAUUAAUGUAAAACUUAAUAUUCAAAUUCUUUCAUAUUCUAUCCUAAUUGAAAUGGAGAAUAACUAGUAGCUAAUAAAGAGACAAUAAAAAUAGUGAAUUCGAAGAGAAAGCGAAAAAAAAGAAAAGAAAAAAGAAGUGAUAUUUAGCUGAAUCACUAUUAUUUCUCGAUUUUAUCCUAAAAAAAUAUAACUUCAGAGCUUCUUAAAAUGAUUCCAGCAGAUUCUUUAAAAUAAGCGUCUGCAAAACUGUAAAGACGAAAAUUAAGCUUGGCUUCACGUUAAAUCACAAGUUGCCAUGUGAAUAAUGUUUCAAGUCUUAACCAUAAUUAAUAAUAAUAAUAAUAAUAAUAUAUUAAAUAUAUUUUUCUUAAUUACAUUUGAUAUUAUUUUUUAGCUUUUCAAUUAAAGAUGGCCAAUUUGCAUAAAAAAUCCACUUAUUUUAGGCUUUUGCAAAAUCAGGCCACCUUUUUCGUUUUUGCAGAUUCGGUCCGCUUUUUCAGCAAACUGACCAAAAUGCCCUUGUACCUUUUUCUCUUUCUUCUUUUUUUUUUGUCGUUCUUUUUUCCUUUCUCUUCCCAGAGAGCGGCAGAGGCGGAAACGCCACCCCUGCCCCGGCGACGUCGCCUUCGUCCGCUCCGGCGACGUCGCCGGCAACGAGCCCCUCUCCCCUGCCUCGACCCAAAUCCUCCGACUCUGCUGAGGCCGCGCCGCCAUCCCUUUUUUUUUUCUCUCUUUCUUCUCUUCUUCUUCUUUUUCUUCUUUCUCCUGCAGGAACAGUUUUCUUUUUUUUUACUCUUUCUUUUUUUUCUUCUUCCUGCGGGAGAAGCUUCCUUCUCUUUUUUUUUUCCCUCUUUUUCUUCUUCUUCUUCUUCUUCCUCAUGUACACCAAGUUUUGCCACCCCGCAACCAACCUCUUUGCCUCCACCGCACCAGCCUCGCGCGGCUCCGCGGCACCCCGCGCCUACCCCCAACACUGCUCCGCCGCCGCACCGUGCACCGUUAAUGAUGUAAUUACGCUAUUACACCAUUAAUGGUGUAAUGGUGUAAUUUCACCAUUAAUGGUGUAACCAUUGCACCAUUAAUGGUGUAAUUACACCAUUACACCAUUAAUGGUGUAAUGGUUAAUGGUGUAAUGGUGUACCAUUACACCAUUACGACGAAGAAGAAGCAGCCGCAGUGCCCCCGCGUGCCCGCCCGCCGCCGCUGCGUGCACCGGCCCGCCGCACCGGCCCUGCCGCCGCCUCCGCCCUCCUCAUCGCGUACGCGCCCCUCGCCGACCCCGCGUUCACCCCGCAGGCCCAAGAGGCCGUGGACGAGCGCGGUCCACGUGAGCAGGUCCCUCAUGGGCAUUUUGUCGAACACCUUGCGAGCUAGAACAAACAGAGGACUAAACAAACAGAGGACUAAACAGAGGACUCUCUCUCUCUCUCUCUCUAUCUCUCUCUCUCGCCUCCUCUGGUGGAGCUCGUCGAGGUGGAGAUAGAGGGCUCGCCGUCGGUCGUGGCGGCGAAGAGGAGGGCAGUGGGCGGAGAGCGCGCGGCGGUGGGGAGCUGCGCGCCGGCGCACGCUGCGCGCGGGGGCACGCGGGCGCACGCGGGCGCACGCUGUGGCGCGCGGGCACGCUUCGGUGCGCAGGGGCGCCGGCGCACGCUGCGGCGCGCGAGGCCGCGGGCACGCCGGCGGACGCGGCGCGCGGGCGCACACGGCGCGGGGGCACGCGGCGGCCUGCUGGUGUCGAGAUCGAGCGGAGGCGCGGGGGAGGUCGGGGUCGGCCGGUGCACGCCAACGCCUCCCUCUCCGUCGCCGUCGCCGCGGAGGAGGCGCACGUCGACCCGGCGGCCUCGCACGGGCGCUCGCUGUCCCGGCUGACCGGGUUCUUCAUAAUAGUGUAAUGGUGCACCAUUACACCACUAAUGGUGAAAUUAGUAAUGGUGUAAUUAAUGGUGGUAUAAUGGUGUAAUUACACUAUUAAUGGUGGUAUAAUGGUGUAAUUAAUGGUGCACCAUCACACUAUUAAUGGUGGUAUAAUGGUGUAAUUACACCAUUAACGGUGCACGCGGCCCGCGGAGCGGAGCCGCGGGUGGAGCUCCGCCGGGCGCAGCACGAGGAGGGCGCGGCAGAGCUCGGCUCGGGAACGCGCGGCGCCGGGCGGCCCCGGCGCGGUGUGCGCCUCGGGGGUGGGGCUCGAGGUCGGCGCGGGUGGAGGUCGACGAGGAAGUGGAGCUUCCCCGGCUUGAGUGGGGGUCGGGGGUCGACUGCGGUCGUGGAAUGGCUCGUUGGCGACAGGCGGAAGUCGCCCGUGCCGCCCACGUGCUCUUACAUGAAGAAAGUCGAAGAAAGGAAGAAAAAGAAGAAGAGAAGAAGAAGACGGGGAAAAAAAAAAAAAAAAAAAAAGUUUCCAGCCAGCGAGGGCAAGAAGAAGAAGAAGAAAAGGAAAAGAGAAAAAAAUUGCUCCUGCCAGGAGAAAGAAGAAGAAAAGAAGCCCGCCUGGCGGCCCGCUCUCGGCCGAUCGCUUUUUUUUUCGGGCUGAAAAAAAAAAAAAAAAGAACAGAUCGAGAACGAAGAGGCAGAGAGAAGCGGAAGAGAAAAACGUAAUUAAGCGGUUUUUCGCGUAGUUUGCUUAAAAAGCGAACGAAUUUGCAAAACAGAAAAAAGGCUCGGCCGGUAUUUUGCAAAAGCCCAAUAAGUGGAUUUUUUAUGCAAAUUAGGCCUUAAAGAUUAGAGUUUAAUUGUAGUUUUUAUUUUUUUCUUUCUCUUGAUAUUUUUAAAUCAAGGGCCAAAUCCAUCCUUUCUUUUUUUUUUUUUUUUUUUUUUGAAAAAUUAGUAGUAUGCUACCGUUUUAUUCAAUUAGAUUAUGAACUUAGCUAUAUAGUAAAAUAGCCAGGUCUUUAGGAAGUAAAGAAAAAGAAGAAUACAAAGAGGAUCUCAAAGAGGGAAAAGGAAAAGGUGAAAAAGGGGAGGAGUACAACUCCUUCCCAACACCUUUCAGAGACCGAAAAGAGUGAACACACCGUAGCGGAUUCGUGGAAGAUGUUAUACCACCCGAGGUUUUACAGACUGAUCCCGAGCCAAACAGACGUCCGCCAACAUCUGAUUAUCCUUUCUUUUUUCAUAACUCUUCUUUAUAUAAUAAAUGCUUCUUAAAUUUUUCUCCUUUUUUUUUGAAAUCUUCUUAAAUUUUAUUUAGUUUAAUUUGAAUUUGACCAAAUUUUGCAUCUUUAAUUAUUAUUUUAGCUGAAGGAUUUGUCAGUUCUUAAUAAUCAACAACCAGUAGCUAAUGAGAUUGUUAGUUUUAGAAAAAAAAUUUUCUCCAUCUCAAGUGGACUUAAUAAUUUAAAUUAAGAUAGACAAUAUUUCAGAAAAGGUCAACAAAAUAAAAUAAAAUAAAAUAAAAUUGAGAAGCCUAUUUCAAAACAGCAUAUAUAUAGUUGGAGGGUCUAGAUAGUUAUUCAAAAUUUUAAAAUUUAAGUACUACUGAUGUUCUACGUAAAACACUUACAUAUUAAAAUUCGAAAAAUUUAAACACUGAUUUUUUUUUUUUUGAAAUGAACGGUUACUAUUCAUGUACCUUUAAUAAUUUCCGAGAUUAUUUGAUUCCUACGUACGAAAAUUUUGAAACUUCAUUAACUUUUGAUAUACAGAUCCUCACAUAGCGCACAUCUUAUUUGUUUUAUUAGAUUUUAAAUUUAAAAUAUUAAAAUUUAAAAUAAAUAUACUAAUAUACUAUACAAUAUACUAAGGCUGAAUUUGAUAUUAAGGUCUAUCUAAUACUAUUAGAUAAAAUGGAGUUGAGGAAUAUGCUUAUGCGUUCUCCGGUCGGGCCGCAGAAAAUAUAUAUCGUAACCGACUCAUCGCAGUAUGCGGAACGUAAUAUUACGUACGAAAAUAAAUAGAAUAUUUUUUCAACGUACUUUUUUAUCUCACAUAACGCAAUCUCUUCACAAUUUCAAACUAAGCCUAAUUCUAUGUAUUUGGAUGUAGAUAAUCCAAUUACCAUAUUACCCUCCAUUGGCACCGCCUCAAGCCACGGUGGAUAGGAGGCCAUGUUAAUGUCUUUCCACAUAUCUCAACCGUUGAUUGAGUAGAAUGGGAUGGCAAUGGAAAACAGGCAAAAAAACGUACAGAAGAAUCUCUCAUCUACACUUGGCGGGACACACGUUCAUGCUCUUCAUUGCGGGACACACGUUUAUGUGAAUACCAUAGAUUUUUUUUAAAAAAAAUAUACCGUUUAUGUUACUGAUAUAAUAUUUCUGAUCAAUUAUAUUAUUUUUUUAUAUUCAUCAAUUCUAUCAUAAUUAAUAAAAAAAUAUUUUUAUUAAUUUUUUUAAAUAAAAAAAUAUGAUUGAUUGGUUUUUGAUUAUACGGUAUAAGUGUUAUACAGUAGAAUUUCUCGUAAGGUAGGAGCUCACAUUUUUUUUUUUGAGAGAAAAGUAAUAUGCUAUUCGUUUUAUUUAUUUUAUUUAAAAAUAAACUUAGUUGAAAAUAUGAGUCAAUUAGGAUUCGAUCUUGUGUCUCAAGUAUCAACCAUUAAGUGUUUUUGCCACUUGCGUUAGAGAUGGUCCGCCUAGGAGCGCACGCUAAAGCUUCAUUACAGGACACGCGUCACUGUCAUGGGCCUCCACGUGAAUUCGUUUAAGGAACGCUUACGGUGUUCCGCGGAGAACAACAUACGGCAGCUUUGUGUACUCUGUGGAGGCCGGAGAGGUAUCUCGCGGGUGGGACCCCGCACGCAACUCCCACUCGCGAGUUGCGACCUCGCGAUGGCGACUCCACCCUCAUCCUCUUCUCCCUCCUCGCUCCUCCUCCUCCUCCUCCUCUUCUUCUUCUUCCUGCUCAUCUCUAGGGUUCGGGUGAGGCUAAGGGUUUGGGGGAAAUGCCGCGGCGGGGGAAGGUGGAGCUGCGGCGGAUCGAGGACAGGGCGAGUCGCCAUGUGCGGUUCUCGAAGCGGCGGAGCGGGCUCUUCAAGAAGGCCUUCGAGCUCGCCGUGCUCUGCGACGCCGAGGUCGGCCUCAUCGUCUUCUCCGCCGGUGGGAAGCUCUACGAGUACUCCAGCUCCUCCAGGUACGCGCCGCUCCUUCCCCUUCUCCUCCUGCCCUGCGAUUCGACGAGAUCCACCCCUCCGUCGCAAAAUAUAUAUAUAUGUAUAUGAUUUUCUCUACAGGAGUCGCCUAGGGCUCCGAUUUGGCGAGUUUGUAGUGAUCUCUGCAUGCGUGUGUUGUGUUUGCUCUCACACUUCUCUGCUGUCCUUUGUCAUGCAUUUGCUGUUAAAUAUGUUUCUCCUCGCAUGUUCCUCUUCUCCAUUGCCUAAGCUGGUUGUGUUCGUCUAGAGAAGAACGUGUUACAGAAAACAAACAAAAAAAAAAAAGAAAAAAAGAAAAAAACGGGACCUAGGUAGUUUGAAUAGUUUAAAUAAGUUUAGAAUCAUCGAUUUACAUACUCGAUUGCCGAAAACAACGCAAGCAAUCGACCUAGUUUGCUUCUAAAAAUAUUCAAAUUUUACUGCACAUAUACAUAUAUAUAAUUCUUCAAUUUUACUAUAUAAUAUAAAAUAUAAUAAAAAUAUUAUUAUUAUUGUACCUAGGAUUUCGAUGUCGUGUUAUCACGUGCUCUGCAAGUCCUUUCGUCCUUUCAACAGGAGUUCCUGCCCUUUUAUAUUCCCGUCCGUCCUUACAAAUAGGAGCUCCACCUCUUUUAAUGAAUGCCAGUCCUUUCAAGCAGGAGUCUCUUUCGCAAUAAACCCUCUCUACAGUGCUAAGAUUUUUUUUCAGGAUAAAAAAAAUCUGGUCUGUUGCGUUGCAGGCUUCAAAUAUUUUUAAAAUGUUUCGGUCUAAUAUCUGUCAUCAGCACAUGCCAUCUAGUAAAACGAAAAUUUAAUGUGUGUGGAUAUUUCAUGUCAAAUUUUUGUUUGUAAAGCUUGUCAAUUAUAGAAAAGCGGCAUACUAUUGCCAUAGAAUUUCUAAAAUGCUAGGUCACUUGCUUUUAUAUAUGUAUAUGUAUAUGUAUGUAUGUAUAUGUAUAUGUAUGUAUGUAUAUGUAUAUGUAUAUGUAUGUAUGUAUAUGUGUAUGUAUAUGUAUGUAUAUGUAUAUGUAUAUAGUGCUUAUCAGAUAGUAUUGAGAUUUGUGCAACUCCUGUAAGGAAAUUAACGGAACAUAUCGAGAGAGAGGUAAAUGUGUAGGUGAUUUGUCAUUUUAAGAUUUUUGUGGCAAGGGAUUUUCCACUCACCAAUAACUGACAGUUUACACAGUGAAUUGUCCGUACACCAAUUGAUUUCAACCUUUUUAAGAAGAAAAUAGACAAUAGGACUAGGAUUUCAAAAAUUUAUUAGUCUUGAGUCCUCCAAUACAACACAUCAAAGGUUAGGGAUUGGAGUGAAAAAUGAUCACCAGUUUAAAGACCAAAGGAGUAUUUCAUUUGCGAUGGUAGAAUGCAGCGCCAAGCAUGGCGAGAAAGCGUAAUUGUAAAAUAAUUCAUUUGUUUCCAUAGUUAAUAACACAUUGUGCAAAUGGAAAUGAUUCGAUUAAGAUAUUAUUAGAUGUCUCCUGAAUAUUGGGAAGAUUUUCAAACUUUAUUCUAUUAUGAUCAGCCCAUCUAGUUAAGCUUGGAACUAUUCCUAAUCUUAUUGGGGAUAUAUUUCUAAUCCUAUUGGGGUUCUAGUUAGAUCCAAAUUAUUCCUAGUCUUAGAUUGAAAUUAAUGUUAGUCUUGUUGAAACUUGCAUUUUUAUAAAUAUAAUUCUUCUCUCUUGAAUUUGUGUGUAGUAUGGUGUAGCAUAUUAUAGCAUAUUGAAAGAGAGAAUAUUGGGUGUAUUUUGGGGCUAGAUUUUUUCCGAGAGGCAUUCUUUUGUGCUUCACUUUGGUUACAAUUAAUGUCUUUGCUCUAUCUUUAUUUGCAUACAUAGGCUAGUGGUUGAACCAUGUAAAUUACUCAUGUGCUCUCUCUCUCUCUCUCUCUCUCGCAUCCUACGAACUAGAUCUUUUUCGCAUUUAUCAGAACAAACUGGUAUCAGAACCGGAUAUUUCGUUCGUGUGUUCAAAAUACUGAUAAAAUUUGAGAUCAAGUAGUUUAAUUAUUCUAAUAGUUUUGCUCUGUGGCAAGAAAAGAUGCGCGCCAUUCUGGAACAAAAAACGACUGCAGAAGGUGUUAUUGACGAAAGAAAAGAAGUCUAGCACUUUGACAGAGGAAUAGAUGGAGGAUAUGACUGUCAAAGCCUUUGCAACAAUUCAGUUACGUUUCUCUAGCUAGGUUCUAUGUGAAGUUUGUAAUGAGAAGAUCAUUGCGGCUUUAUAAUUGAAACUCAAAUAUCUUUAUAUGAUAAAAUCUCUUACAAAUAAGCUAUAUCGAAAGCACCGAUUGUUUAUACUAUGUAUAUUGAAAGGUAUAUAUAUUAAAUCUCAUAUCGAUGAGUUCAAUUCUAUUAUUACAGAUUUACAACAAUAUUUGUUAAAAAUCGAAAAGAAAGAGAAAGAUCUUUUAUUGUUAUUUUCUUGACUAGUUGACUCCUUUAUAUCAGCACUCCAGAAAAACAUUUCUUUUUGGUAGUAAUAUCCUAUCUAUUGAAGAUGUCAAAUCAUCUUUACUUUUCAAAGAAUAAAUUCAUAGACAAAUCAAUCGUAAUCUUAGUAAAGGUACUGCAGAGAGUCUUGUUGCAAGGUCGAGUUACAAAGAAAAAGGUUUUUGCACCAGUGGGUAGAGAUCGAAAUUAAAAUCAUAGUGGAAGGAUUUAUUUUGUAAUUACUGUUAGGAAGAAGGGAUAUAAAAUCUAAAUGUUUCAAAAUAAAAAGAAAAGAGUGAAGAACAAUAGGGGCGGAACAAACAGAAGCAUGUAGAGAUUAGUGCUGCAAAUGGCAGAUCUAAUAGUUCGAAAAUUGUUCUCCCUGUAUCCAAUGAAACAAAAUCUAAGAACAACGAACAAAACAAGAAUUAUGGAUUCUGCUUGCUCCUAUCAUAUGUUUCCUAAUCGGGAUUAGUUCUCUACAUAUGAAUCUAUUAAAGUGGAGUUGUUUUGAUAGGUAAUAAUUCUCUACGCAAAACUAUAAUGAUCGGGUAUUGUGCGAUUAAGAUACAUGACGAUAUGACGAGAACUUCAUCUAAUGUUUAGCAUGUUCUGCAUUUGAAAAAUCUUUUUUGUUUAGGUCUCCUUGAAGCUAAUGGGUACAACUACACCACAGAAAGUAGAGUUAUAAUGGUUAACACAGAUGCCUUUAUUUUGAUGAAAGCAGAGAUGACAACAAAUCUAUAUAUAUUGCAAAAUUCUACUAUCAUUAGUUUUACGGCUAUUUCCUUGUUUUCCAAAUCCUAUUUCGAGUUUGCGAAGUUAUGGCACAUACGGUUGGUGGCAUAAGCGAGUGCAAAAUGAUUGAAUGAAGUAAGAGUCUCUUAUGUGACCGAAGUAUAGAAAAAUUACAAUUUUGUGAAUAUUUUGUAUUUGACAAGUAGAAUAAGAUAAAAUUUACCAUUGUUUUUCACAUAGCGAAAGGUGCUCUAGAUUAUAUUUCACUGUGAUCUUUGAGGGCCCUCAUGUGUUCCAUUUAAAGGUGGUGCUAGGUAUAGGCAUUUUUAAAUUAAUGAUUAUUCCGAAAGAGUUUGAAUGUUUAUGUCUAAUCAUAAAGAUGGUGUGUCCAAACAACUCAAGCAAUGGAAGGCUAUGAUUGAAAAUUAGACCGAAACAAAAAAAAUUCAAGCAACUCAAAAUAGACAAUAGUUUUGAAUUCUGCUUGUCUGAGUUUGAUAAAUUUGUAACAACAAUGGUAUAGUUCACAGGCGGUUAGAUAAGACUAGCAAUUCAGCUCGCUGUUCGUGAACCGGCUCGUGUUUGGUUCUAAAUAGGCUCGAGAUCAAAUAGCUCGGCUUAUAAAUAAGUCAAACACGAGAUAAAAUUUUCAGCUCAAUAUCUUGACGCCCCACUUCCGAGGUGGUCACCCAUUCUUGGACUACUCUAGCCGUAGCACAUUUAACUUUCUUAACCUCUUGGGCCUAGUUGUCCCUAUAAAUACUAUAGCUGAGUUAAGAGGUUUAGCCUUAUUGUAUCUUAUAUAUAAGACUAUUUGAGGUCUCACAUUCUCUUCUUUUUAAACUCUGACAUUCUCGUCAGGCUCAAAUUCAAACAAGUACCGAUGAUGUGAGACUCGUCUCGCUAGUAUUAACCGACCUUGUGGGGGAGCCGCGCUCUACCCACAACAGUGAACAGUACAAGAGCCUCGCUCUCCCCGUUGUAUAAUUCUGGCUCAGCUGAGAAUCAUCUCACACUUUUGGCUGGUAAUUGGCUUUAAUACCAACCGCGACGCCCUACUUCCCAGGUGGUCAUCAUUUUAGGGCUACUCUAACCCUAACACGCUUUGACUCUUUUAACCUCUUAGACCUAGCCACCAUCCAAAAUACUAUAGCCGGAUUAAAAGGUUUAGCCCUAUCAUAUCUUAUAUAUAAGACUACUUGGGGUCUCACAUGUAAUUCUAUAUAUAAGAUAUAAUAAGGGUAAACCUUUUAACCCGGAUAUAACAUUUUGGACGGUGGUUGGACACAAGAGGUUAAGAGAGUUAAGCAUGUUAGGACUAGAAUAGUCCUAGGAUGGGUGACCCCCUGGAAAGUGGGGCGUCACAAAUGGUACAAGUCAAACAUGAGCUAGAGUCGGCUAGCUCGUGUUCUAGCUCGUGUUCGGAUCGACAUAGCUCAGAUAUAUAUACGUUAUAAUUAUAUCUAUUAUAUUUAUAUAUAAAUCACACAAAUUAUUAUAGGUUUGAAGUAGUUUUCACGGUAGUGGUAUAAGUGAUUUGACUCAUUUACAGUUGGUUGUAGCUGCUCAAGGAAUAUGUGUGAUAGUUGUGUUUAUUUUUGGAAGCUUGAUGAUAACAUUUUUAUUUUAUUUAUUAUUUAUGUUGACGAUAUGUUUUUUGCUUCCAAAGAUAUAUUUCUCUAAUUUGAGAUGAGGAUUUCAGAGCAAUUAAGAAGAUUCUCAGUACAGAUUCUUAGAUGCUAAAAGAUAGGAAGAUUGUCUUUGAUCCAAAAACAUAUUGAGAAAGUUUUAGAGAAUUUUAGAACGAAAAACACUAAAUCCCAUGAGUACGUUUACCGUUCAUGUUAGGCUUUUAUUUUUUAUGGAAUUUUUAUUUUCAAUCGCGCAGUUUGAAACUUCUCGUUCACUAGGUAAACAAAGUCAAAAAUUUAUAUAAUGUGAUUUCUAGAUAGUUCUAACACUGUAGAUUAUGUUGUUGGGAUGAAAAAAAUUUAAAAAUUCAAAUUGAGAACAUAAAAGGAAAGAAAUUAAAUUGUGAUUUAGUUACUACUUUUCUUAGAGGAUUAGGUGUCAACAAUGAAAGAGAUAAAACAAUAUUGUUGUUGUAUCUUCAAAAAUAUUUGAAUUAUUUUCCAAAAUGAAGAGGUCUUGAAACCAUUAUAUAUUGGACCAUGAGAUUCAAGGGAGGAGGAUUUUUUUGGAGAUUUCAAAAAAAAAAAAAAGGCAAAAAAAAAGAAGAGGACCCGUUAGGAGGAGAGGGCCGCCUCUCCCCCUCUUUUUGGUUUGUACAGAGAGAGAGGGAGUUGGGUCCCUUCUCUCAGGCAAAAAAAAAAAAAGAAAAGCAAAAAAAAAAAAAAGAAAGCAAAAGAAAAUGGAGUUGAAGCAUGACGGUGAGGGUGGCUGCUACGACGACUCCGACGACUUCCAUGGCAACAAAGGAUAACUCAUGCGUACAAAUGGUAAGUGCGAAUUCUUUUUGAUUUGAUCAACAUGACUAUCUUCGCGAUAGGUUCGAACUGAUCAAAUUCAACAUUAAAUUGCCACUUUCAUCGUGAGUAUGCAUCGCCUAAUUCCUAUACCGUGCGGCCAUCUUCGCGAUGGGCUCGACACAGUCAAAGGGUUGAUCGAGCAGCUAUCUGUGAGGUAGGCUCGACACGAUCAAACCCGCGUAUGUAUCGUUAAUCGCUAUACAGAGCGGCCAUUUUUGCGAUAGGCUUGACACGAUCAAACCCGUGUAUAUAUCGCUAAUCCCUAUACCGACCGGCCAUCUUCGCGAGAGGCUCGACAUGGUCAAAAGGUCAAUCGAGCGGCCAAUUUCGUGAUAGGCUCGACACGAUCAAACCCGCCCAUUUAGACAAAUAAUAACAAUAAAAAAAUAUAUAUAAAAAUGAUGAACAUAUUUUGAUUGUUCAGAUCAUUCGGCAUUUUCGUGAUAGGCACGAUUCGACUUGCCUUCCUCGUGAUAGGCAUAUAUUUUGAUCAAAUCGCCAUCUUCGCGAUAAGCGUAACUUGACUUAAUCUAACUUUCCGAUUGUCUUUGCAACGCUUUAUGAGUGCAAAAAAAACUGGUGAUUCAUGAAUUUGGUAUUGAUCUUUAGAUCAAACCAAAUUAAUUUGACUCGAAUUAAAAAAAAAAGGGAACAGUUUGGAGUUAUUUAAUUGAAAGGGGCCCAAUCUAUAAUUUACUUGUGGGCUCAAUGAACAAAGAUCUCAUAUGCAGUCCACCAAGAAAAAAAUAAAGCCAAAUCCAAUCCAGUCCAAAAUCAGAUUAUGAAUCUAGCCUGUACAAAAUGCAGGCCUAGCCUACUCGAGGGUCCUGAAUCCAGUUCAUAUGAUAGUGCAGGCCCAGUCUAUAGGCGACCCUAAAUCCAGCCCGUAGACAAUGCAGCUUAGCCUGUAUACAAUGCAACCUGUAUACAAUACAGCUCAGUUUAUUCACGGGCCCUGAAUCUAGCCCGUAUACAAUGCAGCCCAGUCUAUUCACGAGCCCUGAAUCCAGCCCGUGUAGGAUGCAAGCCCAGUCCACAUAUGGGCUUCAAAUUCAGUCCACAUACAAAUAAAACCCAAAACCCACAUACAAAUAAAUUUCAAAGCCCAAAAUCCACAAUUAAAAUUUCAAAAUCUAAAGUCCACAAAUAAAACCGAAAAUCCAAAGUCCGCAAAUAAAACUCAAUCCAAUCUAUUUCAUAAAUAAAACCACCAAAGUCCAAAAACAUAAAGCCCAAAACUACCAAAGCUAUAUCACCCAAAUGCCUCAAAACCAAACCAAAUUUAGCCAAAUAAUUUCGCGGGCUUUCCAAAUUGGCAUCUACCAUGAAUUAAUUUCAUGAAACAAAAUAGGCUUUCCAAAUGCGCCCCUAUUAUGAAUUAAUUUCAUGAACCAAUUUCAUGGGCUUUCGAAAUAGGCCUCUAUCAUGAAUUAAUUUCAUGAACUAAUUUAAUGGGCUUUCCAAAUGGGCCCUUAUCAUGAAUUAAUUUUAUAAACCAUUUUCAUGAACAAAUUUAAUGGACUUUCCAAAUGAGCCUUCGAUCAUGAACCAAUUUCACGGGCUUCAAAUCUAAAUGAUCGUCAAGCCGUUAAACUGAACAAAUCAUAUCAAACUCUUUUUGACAAAUCAAACUUUUUUGAUCGCCAAGUCGUUAAACUGAGCAAAUCAAAUCAAACUCUUUUUGACCGCCAAGUCGGUAACUUGAGCAAAUAAUAUCAAAAUCAAUUUAACCACCAAGUCAUUAAACUGAGCAAAUCAAAUCAAACAUUUUUGAAAAUCAAAUCAAACUGUUUUAACCAUCAAGUCGUUAAAGUGAACAAAUGGCCGUCAAGUCGUUAAAGUGACCGCCAAGUCAUUAAACUGAACACGUGACAGCCAAGUCGUUAAACUGAACAAAUGAUCCUUAAAUCGUUAAACUGAACAUUGGACCAUCAAGUCGUUAAACUGAACAUUUGACUGCAAAAUCGGUAAACUAAGCAAACCAAUUUCAAAAUCAAUUUGACUGCCAAGUCGUUAAACUAAGCAAAUCAUAUCAAACUCUUUUUGACCGCCAAGUUCUUAAACUGAGCAAACCCAAUCAAACUCUUUUUGACCACCAAGUUGUUAAACUGAGCAAACCCAAUCAAACUCUUUUGACCGCCAAGUCAUUAAACUGAGUAAACCAAUUUCAAAAUCAAUUAUCAAAAUCAAUUUGACCGCCAAGUCAUUAAAACUGAGCAAAUUAAAAUUAAAUUCCACCUCAACCUAUUUUAACCGACGACCAUGUUAUUAAAUUGAGCAACUUGAUUCUGAUCGACCGCCAAGUCUAUAAACUGAGUAUUUUAGUUUUAUAAAAUUCAUGUAUAGUGGGGGUAUGCCCUUGCUUAAGAUAUGUACACAGCAAAUCAUAUUAAUAAAAUUUUAUCUUCAUGCUUUGGUCUCUUUAAUAAUCAGUAUUUAUAUUCGGGCUCUUAAUCGAGGGUUCCUUAACAUCGAAAAUGUAGGUAAUUAACAACAGAUUCUCGAGUCUGUUGGAAGCCAUGAAUCUAUAAUCUUGAUUUCAAAAUAAAAUUUAAAUUGAUUUAAUCUCUAUCAUAGAUGACCACUCGCUGGAGCUGGAGAAAAGCCUGCGGCGGGGCCAGUUCGUUCCUGGCGGCAGACACGUCUAACGAAAUUGAUUGCCGAAUCGGAUGCUCCAUUAUCGAAAACAACUUGCAAUACAAAGGCCUCCGUACCUUCAAAUUAUAGGUGCUUGUGUUUUCAUAAUAUAAAACCCAGACUAUAUAUACAUAUAUGUAUAUGAUAUAUAUAGUCCGGCUUGUAUACCAUCAAUGGCACUAAGCAUUUGGUGGUGCUAUUGAGUUUUUGGCUCUUUGGCCCAACAAUAACAGGCGCACCAUGAGCCACCAUUGUUGGCUUUCAAUUCAAUUGCCAAAGCCUUUGAUGCAAGGGCCAAAAAACACACUAGCACCAAAGGUUUGGUACUAUUGGUAGUAUUCUUUCUUAUAUAUAUAGAGAGAGAGAGAGAUAGAGAGAGAGAUAGAGAGAGAGAGAAAGAGAGAGUAGGUUUUGUGUGCUAUUAGGAGUACGGUGGCCUUCGUACUCCUAAGCCGUUUUCGAUGGUGGGAUUUUCAAAUCCACGAUCGACUCUGUUAGCAUAUUUGAAGUAUUUAGAAAAUAAAUUUUGCGAAUUUUCAACAUUUUUACCUAGCAAUCGAAAGGUUUCAAAAUCAACAAUUUUUAAUGGUUGAUGUAUAUCGUUUGCAAGUUUAACGGUGUAGAAGUAUUCAAAUCAGAGGAAAUUUCGAUAGAAAAUUUUUUAUACUAUUUACUGCAAGAUUAAUAUCUCUGAUCGAAAAUAUUAGUGCUAUAUCACCACUUUUGUGAGAUUUUUAUUUUCAGCCGUUGAUUUUGAACCCUUUCGAUCGCUAGGCAAAUGAUUUAAAAAAAUCACAAUUUAUUUUUUAGAUAUUUCGAAUACGCUAGAUCAAGUCUAACUGAGCCGAUCGUAGAUUCGGAACCUCCGUCAUCAAAAAAAGGGCUUAGGAGCACGAAGGCCUCCCCUACUCACUCUCUCUCUCUCUCUCUUUCUCUCUCUAUAUAUAUAUAUAUAUAUAUAUAUGUAGUUCAACUAUGGUGUUUUUAGAAGCAUCAACCCUUUGGUGCUAUUACUUUUCUAGCCGUUCAAAGUCCUUUGUUCUAAGAGUGAAAAAGUUCUUUUGGUUCUACUAACUCUCUGGCCCUUAGAUCAGUCCUUUUGGCGCUUAAAUCAUGCACAAUACGAGACGUCACUAUGAGCUACCAUUGUUGACUUUUGAUAUAAUGAUCUAAAGGACCAAAAUUUAAAGCACUAUGGAGCUGAUGCUUCUAAAAGCAUUUCAACUCAAAUAUAUAUAUAUAUAUAUAGAGUCCGGCUAUGGUGCUUAUAAAAGUACCAAGCAUUUGGUGUAUAGAGUCCGGCUAUGGUGCUUAUAAAAGUACCAAGCAUUUGGUGCUUGUAAAUUUUUUACCGUUAGAUCUACGCCUUUGAUCAUUUUCACCCGUUAGAUUAUACUAUUCAACCAACCACCCACUCAACCUUAGGGGGCCCACAUCAUCCUAACCGCACAUUCCUUAAUCCAAGGGCCGAAAACUUACCAGCACCAAUGACUUGGUACUUUUAAAAGCAUAGGAGCUCAAUUCUAUAUAUAUAUUUAUAUAUAGAAAGAGAGAGUUGAGCUACCAUACUAUAGAUUGUAGGCGGAUAGUGUUUAUUACAUUUGGACAUUUGGAUCCAUGCUAGUACAAUGACCAAAUAGUAAACUCUAGGCAUUCAAAUGCCCAAAAUGCUAUAGUAAACACUAUUCCACUACUAUCUAUAGUAUUAGUUGCCCAGUUGUGUAUACAUAUAUAUAAUUGAGCUAGAAUACUUUUAGAAGUAUCACCCCCUUGAUGCUAUUAGGUUUUUAGCUCUUGGAUCUACUCCUUGAUUACUAAUAACCCUUGGAUCAAACACUAUUCCACCUACCACCACCUACCACCAUCAUUUCAACCCUACAUCUCUCUAUCCAAUGGCUAAAAACUCAAAAGCACCAAUCCCUUGGUGCUUUUGGGAGUAUUCUAGCUCAACUCUCUCUCUCUCUCUCUCUAUAUAUAUAUAUAUAUAGAAAGAGAGAGAUAAGAACUCUUUCUCUCCUAUUAGAAAUACAACAGUUCUUGUGCUCUUAAUUUUGUAACUGCUCAUCAUUUAGGUGGAUGUUUCGUCCUAUCUUUUUCUCUUUCAUAAUUCUUCUCUUUUGUUCUCUCUCUUUCCUAUCCCACCCACUACCUACCACAUCCUCUGCCCUUGGUAAACCUUUAUUCGUUCCGCCGCUGCCCUCUUUUGCUUUGGCCGUACUUCGGCACGUGCUGCUGAGGCUUGUUUCGGCCGCAAAUUUAGUUGUGGUGUAGGGUGGGUGGUUAGGGGAGCACUGAAUAGCAGCGCUCGUGGUCCUACACGCUUGUGUCGCCCUCCUCACUUCUCCCUAACCCCAUCGGGAACCUCUCUUUCUUUUUUUUUGGGCCACCGCACUCUUCACCUCUCUAACAUCCGGUGACUUCUGGUAGGAUGGAGAGAGGAGAGGGGUUUGCUGGGCCGGGAAAGAGGAUAAAAAGUCUCAAUAUGCAUUAUUCACAAACUAUUAAAAGAAUGAAGAAUCCCAGAUAGACUAUUAUAGAAUCCUAGUUGGACUAUAUAUAUAAACACACACACACACACACACAUCUAUGUAUGUAGAUGUAUGCUAUACUAUACAUAUACAUAUAUACAUAUAAAUGUAUGUAUAUGUUUAGUAUACAUACAUACAGACACACACAGACACACACACACACACACACGUGUAUGCAUAUACAUACAUACAUAUAUAUAUAUGGCUUGUGUUCUUUCGAAAGCACAGAGACCUGUGUAUUGAUCUUGUUUUAAAAAAUAUAAGAAUUUUCUAUUAAAAUUUUACGUGAUGUGGAUAUUUUUAUACAGUUAAACUUGCAAACAGAUUAUCUUGAUCAUUGAAAUUAUUGAUUUUGAGCUCCAUUGAUCACUAAAUAAAUGAUAUCGAAAAAUUAUGAAAUUUAUUUCUCAAGUAUUUCAAAUACUCAAGAUCAAGUCUAAUAGAGCCGAAUGUCGAUUCAAAAGUUCUAUCGUCGAAAACAACUUGAAAGUAUGGAGAUAUCCGUGUUUUUGAAAGCUUACGAACCUGGUUCUAUAUAUAUAUACACACCAAUUGCAGAUAUUUCAUUAUGUAAUCACCUUAAACUUUCCACCAAUGGUCCAAACAUCUUCAAAACAAGUGAGAUACCACUCGCAGAUCUGUUGCCUAUUGCCAAUGAAUAAAAUUCUAAUCUUCUGAGUCUUGUGAGGUAAACACAACCUUCCAUUACUUUUUCUCAGCAAGGCUUUAUAAACUGAAAAGGACAGUAGUGAUUCCUAGCCUAAUGAUAUUUCUUUUUUGGAUUAACUUUUGCAUCAAACUUAUAGUUAAUGUUUGACUUGAGUUGUAGCAGGAGCUACUGGAGCUGAUACCACAAAUGAGGCCCAUAUUGAUUCUUUCCUUUUUAAUUAUACUUCCCAUUUAUUCCGUUCUUGCAUCUUCACUCUGUUUGAGGAGAUUUGCUGUUAGUCACGUGGUUUGAUCUGCCGUUAGAGAUUUCUUGCACAAUGUUCUUCCCCCAGUUAUCUCAAAUGCACUUGCUCACAAAUUUGGAAAUAUAUGCUCCGCCAUGAACCUCUAGCAAGAAGUCUUGAAGAAAAUGUGCGCCGAACGGAUGGUAUAGAUCUAGGACUUCUCUGUCCAUGCAUCCCUCAUAAUGGAAAUCAAUUUAAAGCCCAUGAUUUCUUAUGUAAUUUCAAGUAGUUCUGUCACUUCCACCUUCUGCAACAAAGGCCCAGUAGUGUUGAAGGCUUUUGAUCUUGGAUUAUCUUUUUCUAAUAGCUUCCAGCAUCAAGUUGAAGCCUCAAAAACAAACCACAUUAAAAAGAAUGCUAGCUUCAUAGCAAAGAUGAGCAAUAAAGUGUCUGACCCUUACACUAUCAUUCUUCUUCUAUUUUUCAUGUAUGAUAUUUCCACUAUCAUUCUUCUAUUUUUCAUUUAAAUUGCUUUGCAUUUCUUCACUUUAUUAGACUUUUAUAGGGGUUGGGACACAAAAUCGAUUCUUCAGUCUUUUUGUAAAAGGCUUCUUGAAACAAAUUCCAUUACACCACAAAGAACCAUCGGUUGGUAUUGCACACUGUCAUCCAAUUUUUCUCUUUACCACUUAUCUUGACCUCCCCUCCUAUUUGCCUUGAGGCAUGUUAUUCAACGGAAGUUUUGUGCAAGUGAAAAUGAAGUGCAUUGGAGAUUUGAAUUAUUUUCAACUCGAUAUUCCUAUCACUUGUUUUGUUCAAUGAAGGUUCGAAGUGCUGGAAGUCAGAUUUCUCGACUCCUGUUGUUUGUUUUGAUGGAAUUUUACUUUAGGAUGUGAAACACAUAGAUUAUUCCAAUGGUGAAGUAAUUGCGUGGUAUUUUCUCAGUGCCAUUGCAAAGCAAAGAAAGAUUACUCCUAUCCUUCUGUAUGGAUAGGAGGGAACUCAUUGCCAGGAAAGUGGGGGAUAUUUGAAAUUGCAGUUUGUUACUUCUUAUCACUUUUGUCAGAUUGUUCAACUUUGCUCUUCUCUUUCAUUAAAUUUAAUUCCCCUCUCACUUGCAUUAAUCCAAACAAACCCUUAAACUGCUUCGAUGGAGAAGAAACUAGAGAAGGAAAAUGGAAGUUGGGAGAGAAUUAUUUUCCUCUUGUUUGAAUUUUGAGGAAAUUGGAAGAGAAAUAGAGCAAAAACAGAAAGAAAAAGACUUUUGGUCAUAAGCAAUCUUCUUCCAAAAGUGGAGAGAAGAGGAGAGAAUUAUUUUACCUUAUUCUCCUCUAUUGAUUCAGAGGACACGAGAAAAAAGUUCACUAUUACUUUUCUCUUAUUCUCUCGUCUAUUUUGUCUUCACAUCUUCCAUAUUCUCUGCAUUCUAAGUAAGAAUUAGUGCUUUUUCCUAUCCUCAAAGUUUCUUUUUUUGUGUUAAUUUAGGAGAUUUAAAUUGUUCUCUCAUGCCAUCAGGGACUGCCACAGAGGAGGCAAAUCUUUUUCCCCCUCUUUGUUUGUAUCUUAUUUGUUUUUUAACUUUCAAAUACUAAUCAAAGUAUGAAACUUCACAUCAUUUAAGUUAGACAUACAUGAAGAGCAGAAAUAUGCUAGAACAUUUAUGUAGAUGAUAAUGAUUGAGAUUUGAUAAGGAUUGAGAUUUUUAAAUUUAGAUACUUGUAUACCUUAGCUGUAUUGUUAUGUCAAACUGUCUACUCUUUUGUAACCUUUGUUUAACUCUUUUGUAACCUUUGUUUGGACAUCUUUACUAUCUUCACAUCAGCACUUUUGUUUUCUAUUCGCCAUUUGUUGAGGAACAUCCUAUCCACUCUAUGCUCGUUGUGCUCUAUCACUGUGAACUCUUUUGUAACGUUUGUUUGGACAUCUUUACUAUCUUCACAUCAGUGCUUUUGUUUUCUAUUCACCAUUUGUUGAGGAACGUCUUAUCCACUCUAUGCUCGUUGUGCUCUAUCUUUAACAUUUAUCUCUCCCAUUCAUCUUGGAUGAGACUUGCAUCAGGAGUUUAUGAUUGUCAAAGCUCAAGCUUCAAGAUUUGAUACAUGAUAAAUUUCUUUCUUUGUGAACAAAAACUUCAAGCCUCAAGAUUAUUAUUUUUGCAUGUGCAUGAUUGGCAAAGUUCAAGCCUCAAGAUUAUUAUUUGAUGUAUGAUAAAUUUCUUUCUUCAUGAACAAAAACUACAAUGUUCUUGUAACUCCAUAUAGGAUUUUGGGGGCGUCACUUUAUGUUAUUUUUCAUAAGAUAUUCAUUUUCAAAUGAUCAUUUUAACAUUACUAGAUUAAAAAGUAGAUAAUGGUUUGGCAAAUCAUGAAAUUUGAAUCCUAAGCACUUCAACUAGUGUAGAUCAGUGUUUAGAAAAAGCCCAAGGCGCACCUAGGCGCAAAGGGCUAUUAAAGCCUAGGCGCAAGGUGCAGGCGCGCCCCCGAGAGAGGUAAGGCGCACACUUUUAUAGAAUUUUGAAAUAACCAAGAAAUUCUUUAAUAUACUUUCUAAUAAUUAUUAAGUAGCACUAAAUACUCUUUAAAAUCAUAUUAUCAUAAUAAAUAUUCUAUAACUACCCAAAUAAUCACGUCUUCGGAAGAAAAAAAAAAUAAAGAAAAGAAAAGUAGUCAAGCAAUAUUUGUGAUAAUUUUAAAAAACAAAAUAAUACAGAUAAAGUUAAAGAAUAAAUUACCUUUUUGUCUCCAAAUAAAGGCCAGCAUAAAGGUAACUAAUAAUUCAAAAACAUAUAGAAAGCUUUGAUGUAAAAACCAUAUAAGUCUAAAUACAAGAUAAUAAAAAAGUAACAUGUAUAAAAAAUUAAAGUUCCAAGCCAAAGAUUAUUAAAAGAGCAUCAUGAUCAUAUGAAAGCUAAGUAUUCAAAGAUCCAAGCCAAAAUUCGUCACACUAAAAAUAUUUAUUGGUCCACGUUCGGACGAGCGGGAGAGAGGUAGAGCAGGAGACAACAGAGAAAGCGGGAGAGAGGGACGAACGGUGGAGAGUGGGAUGAGCUGAGAGAAGCAGAGAGAUUUUGAUGAUUGUGUAGUGUUUAGAUUAUAUUAGUUUAGGAUUUUGGAUUUAUUUUAGAUAUUUCAACCCAUUAGACUAAUAAAUAUAUGGAUCCAUAUAAUCAGAGUAUAUAGAACUAAAUCUAAAACCAUUAGAUGAAGAAGGCGCACCUUGAGCCUAGAGCUAGUUGCGCGCCUAUGCGGGCUAGGCGUGCGCCUUGGCGACCUUUCCCACCUAGGGGCUGCCUAGGCACUGACUGGUGAGCCUAGCGCCUAGGUGCCUAGGUGUGCACCUUAAACACCAGUGUAAUUUAAGUUUGGUGGUUCCAACCAUCGAUUCAAAUGCUCCGUCAUUGAAAACAACAUAGAAACACGGAGGUCUCCAUGCUCCCAGAAGCAGUCUAACUCAACUCUCUCUCUCUAGGGAGAAAUGGAUUGGGACUAAUAUUUACAAGGGAAAACUUCAAAUACUCCCCCUGUGGUUUCACACUUUUUCACUUUAGUAUUCUGUGGUUUAAAGUGUAUCAAGUUAGUACCAUGUGGUUUCGCACUUUCUCACUUUAGUACGCUGUGGUUUAAAGUGUAUCAAGUUAGUAUCCUAUGGUUUCGCACUUUCUUACUUUAGUACUUUGUGGUUUAAUAUUUCGUUAAAUUAUAUACAAAAAAACUUCAGAUAUUCUACCUCGAUUUAUCGAAUAUUCAUUUUAAUACCCUUUAGUUUUAACUUUGUCACUGAUUUAACGAAAAAAAUUCCCCGAAAUGAAUAAUAAAAAGAGAAAAAUGAAACCACAGGGUACUAACUUGAUACAAAAAUGAAACCACAGGGUACUAAAGUGAGAAAGUGCGAAAUCACAGGGUACUAACUUGAUACACUUUAAACCACAGGGUACUAAAGUGAGAAAGUGCGUAACCACAGGGUACUAACUUGAUACACUUUAAACCACAGGGUACUAAAGUGAAAAAGUGCAAAACCACAGGGUACUAACUUGAUACACUUUAAACCACAGGGUACUAAAGUGAAAAAGUGCGAAACCACAGGAGGGGUUUUUGAAGUUUUCCCUAUUUACAAAGAUCGUAUAUGAACUAGUAUUUGCAAAGAUCAUAUACUAACAAGAAAGAGAAGUAGGGAAGCAGUGGACCCUUCCAUUUGGAAAUACUUAAGGUAAACCUUAAGAUAACAAAGAAAUUCACUGGGAAAAUUGAACAAAAUAGGGACUAUAGGGGCCAUCAUAUUUCUUUGCAAACUCCUAAUACAAACUCUAGUAAUUCAAGAAUGACUUAUCUGAUCUACUACUAAAGCUUCCUCCGAUUACCAAAAGUUUGGACAACUAAUCUGAUCUGCUAUGCGAGCAAAUAAUGUGCAUCUUUUGCUAUGCAAAGGGUGCAGUCUGGGAGCUUAAAACAUUUUCAUAGUUUUGUUCGAUCUAAUCAUGGACGGUUACAACAUGAUAGUUCAUCAAGUUGAUCUUCUGAAUAGAUGUAAGUAUAGUAUAUUAAUUGAGCAUUGAUCAUAUUUUCUCUAAUGCAGCAUACAAGAAACAUUUGGCCGCUAUCAGCAAUUUAUGAAAGCAGAAAGAGAAGUAAAUGAAGGGGAUGUCACUGCUGAUCUCGACCUCAACACUAUAGCGGUAAAGUUCGAUAAAUUUGGCCUGUUAAUAAUAUAUAAGAUGUGUUGUGGUCUGCUCUUGUUCAUUUAUCUAUUAAGUUAUCUUGAUAAUAUACAUGUCUAAUAUACAUGUGCCCUAUUCCAGUACUACAAAAAUUUUCUAUUUUAGCGUAUCUUUUUUAGCAUCGCUUUUGUUAGCAUAUCUUUUUUUGUUUCGUUAAGGGUUAUGGGAUAUCCACAAUUGCAUAGUCUGUAUGGCCUUGAAGUCACUUCUUCUUCGAUAAGAAAGAUCGAGCCAUAGGUGGAAUGAGUUAUCUGAAAAAUCAUAAUGGCAAGGACUUUUCAAGUACUAAAAGAAGCUCAUAUGUGUGCUAAUCAGAAAAAAACUUUCUUAAGAUAUUUUUUUGCAUCCAUGAUUUGUUUUCACGCUCUCUUGUUUUCUUUAACACACUUUCCUUUUAAUUUUUUUUUCACUUUUUUUUCCCUUACCUUUUUUUUUCAAUUCUCCUACCCUCAUUUUUUCUUCUUUUUUUCCACGAAGCCCAAAACUUUUGACAGAACAAAACUGUCAAAUAGCCUAAGCUCUAAUACUCAUUUCGUAUAGGAUAGAAUAUAGGGUCUAACGUUUUGGUGGGCUCAAAAUAGAAGUUAUAAUUUUUCAAAAGCCUUUUUGAAUUUAUAGAGAUUUUUUUAAAUUUUUUGAACUUUUUAAAAUACAUUUUCAGAAUUUUUGAACAUUAAAAAAAGUAUGAAACUUAAAGAAUAAUAGAAGAAAAUUAAUAAAAAUAAAAAAAUUGAAGAUAGUAAGUACUAACUCCUAAAACGGAUCACUUCGGUACUGGACUCUCUAGAGCGACGCAUUCGGGAAGAAAAAAAAACUCCGGAUAAUCAUUUAUUAAUUUAUUAAUAUUAUCAUGCUCAUCGCACUAUGAAGUUUUAUAACUUAUUUAUACUAUCCUUAGCCUUAGCUAUACAUAACCUACUUUGGAUUUGUUCUUAUUUAAAUAACUAAUUAAAAUAGUCUUAUCUAAAGAUUAACUAAAUGAUAAAAAUCUGAAAAUAAAUACAGUUAAAACCAAAUAAAUUAUCAUCCUCAUCGCACUAUGAAGUUUAAUAACUUAUUAAUACUAUCCUUAGCCUUAGCUAUACAUAACGAACUUUGGAUUUGAUCUUCUCUUAAAUAACUAGUGAAAACUGUCUUAUCUAAAGAUUAACUAAAUGAUAAAAAUCUAAAAAUAAAUACAAUUAAAACCAAAUAAAAUGAUAGCUAAAAAUCCUCAUUUAACUAAUCAGAAGAUAUGAUCACCUGAUCUAAUCUGAUUUAAAAGGCGAUGAAAUCAACCAAUUUAAACUCAUCAACAUACUGACAUAGGGACAGGCCAGUUCUGCAUCAACAAACAUCUACAUUGAAAAAAAAAGAAAAAAAGAUAUGUCAGAAGUUGAGCAUACUUCUUGAGGUCCUAAUGGCCAUAUGAAGACUCCUAUGAUCUCUUAUUGAUCAAAAUAGUUUUGGAUUAAAUGCAGACUAAAUAAUAAGGGAUAUGCACUAUUAUUCUGCUGUACUGCUAACAAAAUGCCCAAACUAGUUACUAUCUUGUUAAACAAGUAAAGGCUAUUACCCUUUUGUAUGAGUCAGGUAGAGUACUUGUUAAUAGAACUAAUGACAUAAUGUUUGUAGUAGUUUGGGUCGCUUUCCAUAGUACAUUAGUUUCCCCACAGUUAUCACGCCAAUCUAUUAGUCUGAUAUUUACUAUAUAAUUUAUAGAAGCAAUAAAAAUACAGGUCAAGCGAUGUUCAUACUUAAAAAAGCAAAAAAGGCGUUCAUUUUUAUGUGAUAUUCUGCGAUUUUGUCAGCAUUUUUGUGCGAGUUUCAGUUUUCAUAUCAGUAAUGUCUUUCCAAUUUUAGGUCUUACAAUUAGGAGCUUCCCUCAAAAUAUAUUCUCUCUAUCUAGGCUUGUCAGUUACUCUGUCUAAUCACAGAACAUUAUUCCUUAAAGAAGCUCCUCUUUUGGCGACAACAUAAAUGAUAAUGGCAUACAACUUAAAAUUACUCCAAAACUCACUAGGAACUAUUCCUUAAAGAAGCUCCUCUUUUGGCGCCAACAUAAAUGACAAUGGCGUACAACUUAAAAUAACACCCAAACUCCCUAGGAACUAAAUUGAAGGCACUGUCGGAAAAGAACUCAGCUCGAUUUAUGGAAAACAAUUCGUAAGUUCAUUGUUUUAAUAAUAAAAAAAUAGGGGGGCAUUAACUUCUCUUCAUGGCCUGCCAAUAUCAUCAAUUCUUUCUGAAAAAAUAUCAAUAAACUGUCAUUUGGGGCCUACUAAUCAUUUUUUCUGGAAAACAUUUGAUGUAAGAACAGAGUGGAGACGAUGAUUCUUCCAGUUCAAAUAUCAAAUCCAAGCUAAUGAGUAUUGCCCAGUGGUAAUAAUAAUAACUCCUAUCAUCUCUCUAGCGCACAUACUAAUUUGUUAGCGACUAAUAUAAAGCAAAUAUUGCAAAUAUUUUUGCAGGGCCUUCGAAGGAAAUAUUGACCAGCUGGACAGCAACGAACUUGGUCAGCUGGAGAGAGCAUUAAUUGAAGCAGUGAGACUGACAACAUCAAGAAAGGUUCAAUUAUCUAUUUCUUGCAAUCACAUGAAUUUCCCAAUGGUUGCAAAAAUUACAUGCAUCAAAUUCGGUGGUAGACCUAUGUUAAUUUCCUGGCCAUGCAAUUCUCAUUUGGCCCUAUUUCAAUGACAUUGAGAAGCUUUAAUGGUUUAGACUCAUCGUUGUGUUGUUAUGGUGGCUUAAAUCGCUAUAUCUUAGUCUUAGUUAUUUUAUAGAUAAUUAUAAAUUUCGUGUUUAGCUUUACUAAGCCCUAUGCAUACAAAUCUAACCACCCUUCUAAUCUUUGAGUUGCGUUCUCUGUUAAGCCUUAGCUUCGAUGCAUAGGUUCUUGAGGACUUACUAUUAUCAUAUGAGAAUAAUUUCAGCGGUUUCAACUUUUUUUUGUUUACUUUCAUAGAACAGAUGACCCUUGUAAUAAUCUGAACCAAAAAUGCUCAUUCAUAUGCGCACAAGUAUUGAGAAGCGGAAUUUAACAUAGAAACUAUUUCAAGGAAUCAAGGUGCAUAAUGUACAAACUAUUUCAAGUUGCAUACUUUCUGUUGAGUAACAAAACUAAUAGUAGUUCUGCUUCAUCUCGUAACUAAUAGUAGUCCUGCUUAAUAUCGUAGAAACUCACAUGAACCUAAGUGCUUGAAGAACAAACUGUCAGCUGAUAUACAUAAUGCAGUCUCUACAUUCGGAAGAAUCUCCAGUAAAAUUUGCACAAGUCCGUGGAUAUAUAGACUUAUAGAGUAGAGCUGUUCUGCUCUUAGGAGCACAGAGGCCAUUGUACUCCUAAGCCACUUUCGUGAUGGGACUUCUGAAUCGAUGAUCAGCGGGACUUCUGAAUCGAUGAUAGGCUCUUUUUUAUUUGAUCUAGCAUAUUUGAAGUAUCUAAAAAUAAAUUUUGAGUACUUUCGAUAUCAUUUACCCAGUGAUUAAAAAGGUUCAAAACCAACAAUUUCAAGAUUUCGUUUCCAAGUUAAAAGGUGUAGAAAUAUUCAAAUCGGAUUCAACUCGGAUAAAAUUUUGAUCUAUUUCGAUCAUUAGGUAAAUUAUAUCGAAAAUCAUAAAAUUUAUUUUCCAAAUACUUCAAAUAUACUAAAUUAAGUCUAACGGAGCUGGUCGUUGAUUCGGAAGUCUCAACAUCAAAAAUGGUUUAGGAGCAUAGAGGCGUCCUUGCUCCUAAGAGCACAGCAGCUCUACUCUCUCUCUCUCUCUCUCUCUCUAUAUAUAUAUAUAUAUAUGCAGUCUUUAUGACUAAUGUAGGGUUAAAAGAUGAAGACCUUGUAAUCAAGAUAUAAACAAUCUAAAUGAAUUUUAACAUUACAGCCAAAAAAUAACAAAAGAUUUUACAAGGCUGGCACAACUAGUGAUGGGUUCACUCAGGCUUCAUAACGAGGUAGAUUCUUAAACAGUGUAUAUUAAGUUGUGUAGACAUACAGGGUAUCAUUCUGACGGAGGUUUUAUUGAGUGAAUUUCCUUAUUUUAAUUGUGCUGUAGCAAAAAAAUACUUGCAGAUAGUUUCAAAAUGCUUCACCUAUCCUGCAUCUGUGUAAGACUAUACAUGCAUUCAAAAUGCUUUACUAUGGAUCCAGAGCAUUGGUAAGAGCAACAAAAGAAACUGAUCUAGAAGAACCUUGGCAAAACAAGUUGUGCUCUAGUGACAGAUAGUACGAACUGCUUGUUACUCCGUACCUUCAAUUGAAAGGACAAACUGUAUUUUGUAACUGGCCUGUGUGUAUUUAAUUUUUCCUUAGUCUUCAAUCGAACUAAUACCACAUUAUAAAACCAGUAACUAAAUCGUAGAAGUCUUUAUUUUUACCAUAUGUUCUUAUAGUAUAUUUGAUUGAAGUGCCUCUUCCUCAGAAUAUAGAGCCAUUUUUACCUUUGAAUGUUGACUAUUUAGUAACCUAAUGCUAUCCGACAGAUUUGUAUGACAGAAACCAUUACAUUCCAAUAACAGGACCUGAUAGAAUCCUCUGAAAUCAAAGGUGGUGUAAAAUUAAAUAGUGAAGUCAAAAUUUUAAAGUUCAGCAUCCUUGAAAAUGAGCUACAGUUUAGGCAAAGACGGUACAUUUCAUAGAAAUGAAAAAUUUAGGAGAAAACAAAGUAUCAGACACUCACUAGCUUUGGAGAGCACCACUACAUCCAGAUUACUCGUUAACCAGAGGAAGCAGCGAGAAACUGGAAGAAAAAGUCAGAAACAUUAGUUUGAGCUCAUAUAAUUGUUAGUAUUUUCUUGAUUUUGCAUUGCUCUGUUCUGUAUCUAUUAGAAGGCCCUGCUGUUCUGUUUAGUUCACUCAUAAUUGUCAUUGCUCUUGAAACACAGAUUGCAGUAAAGGGGGGAGACGGAGAGAAUGUUGCGACGGUGGAGAGACAAAGAGAAUAGCCUUAAGACGUGAGAUCCUAACCAAAUAAUGGGUCAGACAAUAAUGACAACUAUCUUUUAGCAGUAUCGCGUGCAGAAAAGGAAGAGCAUCCCACCGCGAAAUUCAGGAUAAGUGCGAUUAUCGAAGGGGCAGCAAUUCGUGGUUGGCAGUUUGUUUCUUUUCAACAAAACUAGUUAGUCAGGUGUGCUUAGAGAAUUAUCUAAAUAAUUAGAACUCGAUUUAAAAAAUGCUCUGUACGAUUAUAAUGUCAUGCUAUGUCAUUUUCUAUUUGACGGCUGCCUAACGUGUGAUUUUGGAUUUCUAGCUGUAAUUUCAGGUUGUGUUAACAAAUUGCGUCUGGGAUUGCUAGUUCUAUUUGCAUUAUAGAGAGAGAGUAAAGCUAGAAUACUUAUAGAAGUAGAGAGAGAGAAAAGAGUAAAGCUAGAAUACUUUUAGAAGUAAUAUGAGAUGCACACUCUUGUAUUGUAUCUGCCUAAAUGGCAUUCAAAUCGACAAUCGAUAUCGUUAAAUAUGAUUUAUACUAUUUGAGCUUUGAGCUUUAUAGUACUCGAAUGUUAUGUUUUUCGACAUUAUUUGCUUAGAGGUCAAAUGAUAUUAAAUUCACCAAAUAUUAGUUAUUAAAAAUAGUCGAUUUCAAGAUCACUUGAAUAAUAGGCAAUUGAAGUCUGAAAAUAGUGAAAUUCUCAAGUUAAAAUGACUUAGAUUAAGUUUAAUAGCGUCGCUCAUCAAUUCAAAUGUCCCGUCGCUCGAAAUGACACACCAUUAAAUGGGACAUUCAACUUAGAUUUUUAUUUUAAAAUUUCUAUGAUUGGACUUACUAUUUGUGUUACUCUCCCUGUACGCGAGUCUAUCCUUGAUCAGGGGAAACGAUGCUGAAUCAAACUCCCCUAUUUAAUCAUCGAUUUAGAUUCUCCGUUGGGGAAACGAUGCAGAAUCAACUCCCCUAUUUCUCGAAGUAUUUUAUUACUGUCUCUCUCUCUCUCUCUCUCUGUCUCUCUGUAGAGAGAGGCUGUAAGGCCAUGAUACUUCCAGAAGUAAAUAGACUAUUUAGUAUUUACUGUUGCAUCGUUUUUCGUCAUGGGGUAUCUAAAUCAACGAUCAGACCGUUAAAAAUGAUACGAACUUUUAAAUAUUUUAGGAAUUGUUGAAAUAGCCUAGGUGAACUUUUUAAGUUUAUAAAUAAUUUAAAUAUCCUAUAUCAAGUUUAAUGGUUAGGAUCAUCGAUUUGGAUAAUUUAUCAUGAGAAACGAGAUGGAAGUCAAUUGUCCCAUUUACUUGUAGAAGAAUUCUAGCCUUUCUCUCUCUCUCUCUCUCUCUCUCUCUAUGUGUGCGUGUGUGUGUGUGUUUGUGUGUGUGUGAUGAUUUUUCAUGCAUAAUAAUAACACAGCUAAUGUUUUAUACCUCAAUUUUUUUCCCUGAGCAGUGAAAACUACACGUUCGAAAGAAGCAGGAUUCGUAUUAUUAGCAACGCACGACCAAGUACGUGAUCCUCUCUAUUCUCUCUCUCAACAAAAUAAUAAUAAUAAUAAUUUAUUUUUUUAAAGAUAAUAAUAAUAAUAAUAAUAAAUAAAAGAACAUCCAAUAGCAGCUGUUCCUUAUCCUCGUACGUGUGCUAAUGAAGAAGCUAAUGAUCGUCACGAAACAAUGCAAUGCACGUUUCAUACAAUAUAAAGAUUAAAAUUUUUUAAAAAACUAUAUGUGAAUUUUAAUAACUUAACCAGUUUUAUUUGAUUAUAAUCAUGUAAUAUUGGAAAAACCAAGCUAAAGGUAAAUUAAUUUAAAAAUUCAAAUUAUACUAGUUGAUAAGUUAAAAAUUAUUAAAAAACUAAAAUUCAAUAAAAAUUUAAAUGACUAUAGAUAUUAUAGAAGUCUAAUUCUUUCUCCUCUCUCUGUAUAGAGAGAGGGAGCAGGCCUGUUGUGCUAUUAAGAGUACAGUAGCUUAGAAACAAAAAAAAAUUGGUGGUGCUACCAAAUUUUUCAUCAUUAAAUUUAUUUCUUUAAUCAUUUCUACCGUUAAAUCAUACUAUUCAACCAAUUACUCACUCAAUUCUAAGUGAUUACUAUCAUCCUACCGCACAAGUCUUAAUUCAAGUACCGAAAACCUAAUAACAUCAAUAACUUAAGUACUAAUAAUAGCAUAUUAGCCUGGUUCAUAUAUAUAUAUAUAUAUAGUGGGCUGGUAUGCUUCUGGAAGCACGAAGCCCUUCGUGCUACCAAGUUAUUUUCGAUGUUCGGACUUUCAAAUCGACGAUCGGCUCUGUUAAAAUUGAUCUAGAGUAUUUGAAGUAGCUAAAAAAUAAAUUUUGUGAUUUUUCGAUAUCAUUUGCCUAAUAAUCGAAGUGGCUCAAAAUCAACGACUAAAAAUAAAAAUCUUAUAUGAUGAUAAUAAAGCUCUUUUGUUUACUGGGGAGCCGAACACACGUCGAGAUUGUAUUGACCUGCAUGGCGGCUCCUGAUUGGCCGGGCGACACCUAAGCCACUAAAUCUUUCUUGGCUUUAUUGCACCUAAUUAGUGAAGGCACCGCUUAUUGCUGCAGUUCGAUUUUGUAGAAAAUAAUAAUAAAAAAAUUAAAGAUUAAAAAAAAUAUAUAAAUAAAAAAAUUUAAAAAAAAACAACAGCUGCUGCAGUAAGUAUAUAAAAAUAAAAAUAUAGAAGAAUAAAAAAAUAAAAGAAAAAUUAUAAGAAUAAUAAAUUUUUAUUUAUAAUAAUAAUAAAAGUUGAAAAUUAAAAUAUUAUAUAUCUUAUAUUUAGAGUCAAAAAUUACAAGUAAUUAAAAUUUAAGGACUAAAGCAUCGUAUGCUCAUAGUUUGAGCAAAAAAAUAUAAUGGAUUAAAAUUCGAGAACUAAAAUAUCACACGUCUUAUAGUUUGGAACCAAAAGUGUAAUUUAUUUUGUUAUAUUGUAGUUCCAUUUCAAGCGAAGAUAAAGCUCUAUAUGAUAUGUUACAUUAUAAAUUUUAAAAUUUUCAAUUGUUAAAAUUAAAAAUUGACCAAUCAUAUUUUGGAUAUUCUAAAAAAUUUUUAAAUAUAAAAUUGAUCGCUUAUCAAAUUAUGAAUAUGGCAUUGAAGUUUGAUCUAAAAAUCAAAGUAAAAAUAUAUAAAAUUUUUUAGAACUAUAAACUAUUUUGAAUUACUUAUCAAAUCUUUCAAAAUUUUAUUUUUACUAUCCAAUUUUUCUAUAUGUUAAAUUUUAAUGAGUAAAUAAUACAUUAAUUUCAAAUUUUAAAUUCGUCGUUUAGUGUAUAAAUUUAGUUAAUAUACUUUACGUGAUUUUCGCAACUAAAUUUAUUAAAAUAAAUUUUAACUUAAACUCUAUCAAUCUCUUUUUUAUUAUUUAUUAUAUAAUUUAUAUCUAAGUGAUCAAUAUUAUAAAAUUAAAAUUUACAUUUAAUACAUAUAAUCUACACUAUUUAAAAAUUAUGUAUAAAAAAUUAUAUAGUUUAAAUUUUUAUGACAAAAGAGAGGAGAAUUAGAUUGAUUUUUUUAAAAAAAAUUAAUUUCUUUAGGCCUAAUUAGUGGGCAAUUGGUUGAAAAAAAUAACAAAAGGAAGAAAAGAGAAGAAGAAGAGAGGAGGAGGAGGGCCCAACCCAGCGCCAGCCCACUCGGCUCCCCUCCUAGUCCCUUCCUUCCCACUGUUCCGAAAACUGAGGAUUCAUAUAUUAACUAGUGAAUACCCGCGCGUUGUGUGGCGGAUCGAUUCCACAAUAUAAAUAAAUAAAUGAAAAUUUUAAAAAAAAAAACAACAAAAAAAUAAAAUAAGAUAAAAUAAUAAAAAUAAAAAGAAAUAAAAACGUGCAAAAUAAAGCAGCAGCUGCUACAAUAAAGUUAAAAAUAAAAAUAUAUAAAAUAUAAAAAAAUAAAAAACUAUAUAAAAUAAUAAAUUAUAUUAUAACCAGCAUUUAAGAGUUUUGAAAAAUUUAAAAAUAUCAUAUCCUCAUAAUUCCAAGCCAGAAUUGCAACUAAUUAAAUUUUAAGGGCUUAAGUACUCGUGCCUAUUAUAGGUUGAGCAGAAACUGUAUAUAUGAAAGUGUCCAAAACUACAAGUUUCACGGUCUUAUAGUUUUGUAAGACCAAAGGCGUAAUUUUCUUCCUUUUAUUUUGUUCUUAUUAUCAACGAAAUUAAGAGUUAUAGUAUGAUUCAUUGUCACAAAGUGAAUUCAUAUGAGAAAAAAAUAUUAAACUUAUCGAGAUAAGUUUUAGAAUGCAAUUGUUAAAUUAAAAGUCAGGCAAUUGAUAUUUGGGUAUUUUCAAAAAAUGUUUAAAUUUAAAUUGCAUUACUUCAUCGGACAUAGAAUAUGUAUAGUUUAUAUUAAAAUCCAAUAAAACAAUAUAAAAUAUUCUAAAACUAUGUAUGAACCAUUGCUGACUUCAGCCCUAUCCAACAUUUCAGAAAUUUUAUUUUUUCAUAUCCAGUUUUUUAAGGUUAGAUGCGCGAAAACCUUAUAUACUUCGGCUUCAAAUUGAUGUUUUGAUGAGCUUUUAUCGAUUUUAGUUAAUACAUUUUGUAUGAUUCUUGCAAUUAAAUUUAUCAAAGUAAAUAAUUAACUUAAACUCUAUCAAUCUUUCUUUUAUAUUUUAUUAUAUAGUUAUAUCUAAUUUAUCACUGUUAUAAAAUUAAAAUUUAUAUUUAAUAAAUACAGUGAAAACAAUUUUCCAAAUUAUACAUAAAAAAAUUAUAUUUUAAUUUUUAUAAUAAAAAUUAAUUUGAAUUAAAAAAAGCUUCAAAUCCUUCUCUCUAUCUCAAGAGAGAGGAAAAAAAAAAAUAGAUGGAAAAAAAAAAAAAAUUGGCCCCUCCCCAACGACUGGUCACCCCCCUCCUCCCUCAUGGUGCCACUUGGAUUGAAACUGAGGUUCGUUUAUGAUUUAUAUAUAGAUAAAUAAUAAUUUGUUUAGCAAUUUAAUUAUUAUUUUUAUUGAAGAGAAUAUUUAACUUUGAUGUACCUUUCACAGCUUUUUUUUUUAAUUAUUAUUAUUUAAUAUUUGUUAUUUUGUUCUUUAAUAAGAGAAGGAUAAAUGAGUUGGUCUGCCUUUGCCAAGAUGAACACCCAAACAGUUACGGAAUUUUGUUGCUGAUAAAUUUUGAAGCACAAAAAAAUUAAAGCGAUAAAGCAGAAUAAUUACUGAAAUCUUUGUGUUCUUGUCAACUCCGGACCCGGCUGUAUUGGGCGUUUCCGCCGACUCGAAUCCACGCUGGAAGUGUUCAUGACGGUCUGUAUAGUGUCAAAUUAAUAUUAAUUAUAUUAAUCAAAAAAAUUAUAUUAUGAGCCGGGGACUCUAAAAAUCUAGAAUUUAUGCCAAAAAAAAAAAAAUUAACAAAGAUAUAUUAAUAUUAAAUAAAAGUAAUAAGAAAACAACGUGGAGAAAUGAAUCCAAGAAUCGAACCUUACAUCAAAUCACGGAGGAGGAGGACGCAGGAAAUCGAGGAGGAGAAGAAAAGGCGGCGUUGAGAGAGAGAGAGAGAGAGAGAGAGAGAGAGAGAGAGAGAGGAGAGGUGUUGUGGAGUGGGAAGAGAGUUGUGGAAAACUAUGUAUACAAGAGUGAGAGGAUUUUUGCUUGUUUGCUUUAUUAUUGUUGGUUCGUUUUAUACACCUUAGAGCUAAGUAGAUAAUAUUGGAAGCACAUAUAUAACACAUGAGCUUAAGUAGAUAGUAUUGGAAGCAUAUUAAUACACCGUAGAGCUGAAGUAGAUUAGUAUAAUUGGAGCAUAAAUAUACACCGUUAGAGCUAAAAUAGAUAGUUUUGGAAGCAAUAAUAUUAUAUAUAUAUACUAGUGAAAAUACCGCGCAAUCUGCGGAUAUAAAAAUAUUUUAUAAUAAAUUUACUUUUUAUAUUUUAUAUAGUUUUAUUAAGUCUAAUUAUUAAUUAAAUAAAGUUAUUUAUAAAAAUAUUUAAUAGCUAAAUAUAUUUAAAUUAAAUCAUUAAAAUGAUAUAUGCGCAAAGUAAAUUUAUACAAUAAUUUAUUUUAUAAGAUUACAUAAUGAAAAGGAUUUGAAAUAAAUCUAUCAAAUAAUUUUAAAAAUUAAUAAAUAGAAGGAAAAUAAAAUGUUAAAAGAAAUGUUAUAAAAGUAAUUAGUUAUAAUAAACAGAACAAUAUAUUUCUAAAAUUUUACUCCUGAAUUUAAAUAUAUUAUUUUUUUAUUAACGGAUAUUUUACGUGAUUUAAAUUGAAUCUAUCAGUUUAGAUUUUUAUUACGUAAUUUAUUAUUGCGCAUUAUUAAUAUAAUUGAAAAUAAAUAUUAUAAGUUAAAAUUAAAAUUAGAAUUUAAAAUAUAAAAUUAAAAUUUAAAAUUUAAAUUUGAAAUUUGAAAGUUCAAAAUUAAAAUUAAUAUCAAAAAUUUAAUUACUAAUAAUGCUGUUAUACAUUUAUUAAUAAAAUUAAUUAAUUAUAUAUAUAAUUAAUAUAUAUAUGUGUGUGUGCGAGCGGGUGUGUGUGUGAGUGUGAGAGAGAGAGAAUGAAGUGGAGGGUUGGGGACAGGUGUUACUAUGUGUGUGUGUGUUGUGAGAGAGAGAGAGAGAGAGAGAGAAUGAAGUGGAGGGUGGAGACAUGCUAUCACCUGACGGUUCCCCCAACUGCCCAAACUCCUUUAAUGUAAUAGUAAGUAUAUAUAUAUAUAUAUAUAUAUAUAGAGAGAGAGAGAGAAGAGAGAGAGUAGGGCCGCUGUGCCUCUCAGGAGCACGGAGGCCUCGUGCUCCUGGUCGUUUUUGAUGAUGGAAUUUUCGAAUUGAUGAUCGCCUCGUUAGACUUGAUCUAGGGUAUUUGAAGUUUUUAGAAAAUAAUUUUGCGAUUUUUUGAUAUCAUUUAUCUAGUAAUCGAAAUGAUUCAAAUCAAUAAUUUUUAAAGGUUGAUAUCACUGUUUUGAAGUUAACGGUUGUAGAAGUAUUCAAACAGAUAAAUUUUGAUACAAAAUUCUUAUAAUAUCCAUACAACAGAUCAAUAUUUCUGAAUCAGAAAAUUUUAAUGCUAUAUCACCACUUUUUAUAGAAUUUUAUUUUCAGCCGUUAAAUAAUAUUAUUUUAAAUUCUUUCCGAUUGCUAGGUAAAUGAUAGCAAAAAAUUUACAAAAUUAUUUCUAAAAACUUAAAAUACGCUAGAUCAAGUCUAACGGAGCGAUCGUCGAUUUGGAAAUUCCAGCAUCCAGAAAACAGCUCAGGAGCACGAAAAGCUCGUGCCUACUAGAGAGCACAAAAACUACUAUUAUAUAAUAAUUAUACUAGUUAAAUGUACGUGCAAUGUAAUAAUAAUUAUUAGAAAGAAUUAUAAUUUUUUUAAAUUAUUUUUAUUUUAGGUCAUAUUUUAUAUGAUUGGCAAAUAUGUAUCUAAAAAAUUUAAAUAAUAAAUCACGCUAUAAGAAAGAUAUGCUUUAAAUGAUAAAUAAUUAACAAUAAUCUUAAUGCAAAAAUUACUUUUGAAAUUAAAUAGAAAAUAAAAUCUGUUAGGAAAUAAAUUUUGAAAUUAAAUCGAAAAAUAAAACGUUAUCUUAAAAGAAAUAUAUUUUUAAAAUAAAUAGAUAUAUCUAAAAAAGAUAUUUUAAAAUAAAAUGGAAAAUAUCUUUUAUAUGAUUUUACACACCCGUAAUCUGUUAUAGAAAAACUACUUUUGAAAUUAAAUAGAAAUUUUAUAUUUUAGAAUUUUCACAUCAGUAAUCUGUUAUAGAGAAUUACGUAUUCAUUGUUUUCUAUAUCUAUUUUUAUUCUUAUAAUUUAAAACUUUCGUACGGAAAAGAAAUCGGGGCGCUAAUUUUUCCGCAAAAAAUGGGUCUGUCGACAGACCAAAUUUGAAUAUACGUGCUUUUAUAUAUAUAUAUAUAAUAGUUAAGUUAGAAUAUUCUCAAAGCACCAUUAAGGUGGUGCUUUUGAGUUUUUAGCGAUUGGAUUAGAAGUGGUAGAUAGAUAGUGUUUGAUCCAAAGCUAUUAGUAAUUAAAGAGUAGAUCAAGGGUUAGAAACUUAGAAGCACCAAGGGUUGGUACUUCUAAAGUAUUUUUAGCUCAAUUAUAUAUAUAUAUUAUAUAGUAUAUAUAUAUAUAUAGAGCAUGGCUGCUGUGCUCUCAGGAGCACGGAGGCCUUCCGUGCUCCUGAGCGUUUCGAUGAUGGAAUUUUCGAAUCGACGAUCGGCUCUGUUAGAUUGAUCUAGCGCAUUGAGUUUCUAGAAUAUAAUUUUGCGAUUUUUCGAUAUCAUUUACCUAGUGAUCAAAAGGAUUCAAAAUCUGUAAUUUUUAAUGGUUGAUAUCUGCCGUUUUCAAGUUUUAAUGUGUAGAAGUAUUCAAAUCAGUAUAAAUUUGAUAGAAAUUCUUGUAUACUAUCUAUAACAAGAUCUAUAUUUCUGAUAAAAAAUUUAGUGCCUAUAUCACACUUUUUAUAGAAUUUUAUUUAUCGGCCGUUAAAAAUUAUUGAUUUUGAAUCCUUCCGAUUGCUAGGUUAAAUGAUAUCGAAAAUAGCAAAAAUUAUUUUCUAGAAACUUUAAAUACACUAGAUCAAGUUUAACAGACCGAUCGUCGAUUCGAAAAUUCAUCAUCGAAACGGCUCAGGAGCACGGAGCCUCCGUGCUCCUGAGAGCACAGCAGCCCUACUCUCUCUCUCUCUCUCUCAUCUCUCUUAUAUAUAUAUAUAUAUAUAUAUUAUAUAUAUAUAUAUAAUAUUAUAUUAUAUAUAUAUAUAUAUAAUAUAUAUAUAUAUAUAUAUAGUCCACAUAUUGAUGUUGUAAAAAUCCAAGUAUUUUGGUGCUUGUAAAUUUUUUUACACGUUAGAUUUACGUCUGAUUUGUCAUUUUCAACCGUAAAUUUACUAUUCAACAACAUCACUCAACCCUAGGGAGCCCACGUCAUCCUAACCGCACAUUCCUUAAUCCAAAUAGCUAAAUUACUAGCAUAACAACUUUGUACUUUUAAAAGCAUAGAAGCUCAAUUAAUAUUAUAUUAUAUAUAAUAUAUAUAUAUAUUUAUAUAUUAUAUAUAUACACAGUUCGCGUUGCGAAUACUAUAGAUAGCAGCAAGCACUUGAUGCUCCUACCAAGUUUUCCACGUUAGAUUUAAUUUUUAACUAUUUUCAUCUGUUAGAUUAUAUAUUUAACAAAACUUACUACACCUAAGAGGUCCGUCAUUUAUUUUUUUAAUUUUUUUUUCUCUUUUUUCACCCUAACCAUCCAUUAAAUUAAUAAAAUGGUUAAAAAAUUAAGAGUAUAAGAACUUCUUUGCUUUAAUAGUACAUAGCGCUACUCUUUCUCUCUCUUUAUAUAUAUAAAUCAAUGCUUUAUGCUGUUAAUAUAUGUAUCGUACAUGCACCAUCUUAUUUAUUUACUAUAUUAUAAAGUAGAUCUUGUAAACUGACAUGUGUUUUCUAUAUGUUGACACAUGUCAAACUCAUAUAUAGCAAAUAGAUUCGGUUAAAAUAGAUUUGUACUAUAUAAGGUAAAUAUUCAAUAUUUAAAAAUUCAUCAUUUUCAAUAUAAUAUCAAACUCUUUGCAUUCCUAUAUUAUCAGAUUUUUAAUCUGCUAUCAUAAACAGAGCAUUGAAACUGAUUUGUUGCAAUAAUUAUAUCUGUUGUUUUAUGGUUGCAAAUUUUUAUUCACUUUUCAAGUAAAGUUAAUUAUUUCUAUAAAUGAAAUGAUAUGUGGAAGUCACAAAAUUUUAUUAGAAAUACUAUUAAAUGUUUUGUCUAUUUUUCAAAGGUUACCAUUCAUAUCAUUUAUUUCAUUCAAUUUAAUAUUUUUCUAUAUUCAGAUUUAGUUAGCUUUGGAAAAAUAGAAUUGUGUAGUAGUAAGGUAAUUUAAUUAAGAUCGAUAGUAUAUUUAUUUAUUUGUUAAAAUAAAUAUAAUAGUAGUUAGAAUAUUUUUUUUAUAUUCAUAUAUAACUUUUGUACUUAUAUUAUUAUAUUAGUCGUGCAUCAGCACGUGUCAAUAUACUGAUAUAAACUAUUUAAUGAAUCAUAUUUAUUAUUUUUUAUAUUAUUUAUCUAUUCUUGAAGUGAUUUUAAAUUAAUAAUUUGAAAUCGCUUACUAUAAAUGAGUAAUAUUAAAAUACGAAUGUAGUUAAUCAUAUUUGAUGGUUUCAUUUGUUAAUUACAUGUAUCAGUUCACAACUUGUCUUAAUUUAAACACUUUAGCUAGUUCUGUUUGUUAUUUUAUUAAUGUUAAAUAAAUAUUAUCAUGCAAUAAAAUAUGUGACGUGAUUUUUUUUUCUUUUUUUUUUUUUUUGGUAAGAGGGUCAGGCCGUGGGCCCACCUGCCGAGAAACAAUUACGUGCGUGGCACGUGCGAGACGUUACUCAAUUUUUGGGUUUGGAAGGUGAUAUUUCUCACCUCAGUCCCUAAAGAGUCCGAAAAUGUCACAAUCAGUCCUCCUCCAAGGACCAACUUGCAUUAUUAUAAAUUAGAAAAUUAGAUAAUAACGAAUCAGGAAAGCUGACGUGGCAGAAAUAUCAAAUUCCAGCGGGUCCCAUAUCAACCCAAACGUGAACCACACAGCAAAUCUCCCUCUGGUUUACAGACUACGUGGUAAACCCGGUCCAGCCAAAUUCUCCACGCUUAAGAAAAAGUCUGAUAUGCGAUAGUUGCAUCGUGCCCUCUCUCAUGAUCCAACCAAUCAAAUUAUUUUCUUAAAGACUCUUCUGGGCUAAAUAAUUCAUUUUUUGUUCGUUAAAACUAGUUCAAAUGUUCCUUUACUGAAAUAUAUUCUAUCUACUCAUCUUAAACCGUGGCCUCAUGAUCUUUUUUUUUUUUUUAGUUAUUGUUUAAAUGAUGUGGUAUCGCCCUAUACUUACUAUAUAUUAUUAUAUUAAGGGGUUCAAUUGCAUUAGGAGAAAAUUAAUUAAUAAUGAUAGGAGUUUGGCAUGACUAAUUAAUUAGUAAUACUAGAAGUCUGGCAUGACUCGAUCUCAGAACCUCCUAUUCUAAUACCAUGUGAAAUAACCGUUAUCUUCUAAAAAGCUUAAGCUAAUAGAAAAGAGUGUUUAAAUAUUUUUAUAUUUAACACACCACAGUACCUCUACUUUUCUAGUAUUGCAAAAUGGUCUUUAUAUAUAUAUUUUUUUAUUGUAAUAAAUGGAUAAUCCAUCUAAUUACACUUUUUUUAAAAUUUAUAUUCUAUAUUAUUUAAUUUAAUAUAAUAUAAUAUUUUUAUUUUAUAUUAUUUAAUAUCAGCGGGUACGGAUAGAGAUUGCCAGGUGGAUGGAAAACCGCAGGGUCGCGGCCGUUGUGGACCGAGUCCAUUGGGCCACAUGCAAUGUUCCCCCGCCCCGCGCCCCUUUCUUGGACCGGACCCUCAUGGGCUGGGCUUAGGUGCAUGGGAUACUAAACAGCUUGUAAGUACUGAACUGGUCCUUUCGGGAUAUUGUGCUCGGGCCGGCCCAAAUCGGCCUAAUUCCGACACGGUCCGGAUCCGAAGUGCUCGUUGAAUUGUCAGGCUGGGUCUCGACUAUCCUCAACCAGGCCCUGCCCCGACCUUUUUACAUCCGCAUUCCUGCGACAACAAAAAGCUUAUUAAAAUUAGACUAUGCCGGAAAUCAUUGCUUUUGGGCUUGUGGUCGUUAUCUGAAUUGUCGCAUUAAAGUUACGAGGUUAUGUUCUUCCUCGUGCAUCCCAAAAUGGGUCAAAAAUUUUGUGGGCAUUAUCCCGAAACUAAUAGUUUGGGGACGAUGCAGAUGGAUGCUGCAUGGCCCAUCUGGCACCAGCCCUUCCUCUUCCUUUACUGCUCUCUCUCUCUAUCUAUCUCUUAAAAUACAGGGCAACUUUUUUUUUUUUUUUUCAUGGAUGGUUGUUGAAUGGGCCAUAUGGUUCUCAUCCGCACUGUACCCAAACUAUUAGUUUGGAGACGGUGCCCGCAAAAUUUUUGUCCCCCAAAAUGGGGGGCAAAUAACAAGAAUUACGGCUCAGCUCAAUCAUGCUUCUUCAGCAUGACGUGAGAGAGAGAGAGAGAGAGAGAGAGAGAGAAGACAAAAAAAAAAAAAGAAAAAAAAGAAGAGGGAACUGAUUCCUGAGACCAUCCUGUAUAUCAUCUACGUCGUUUUAAUAUUCGUAUUAUUCAUGUAGGAUAUUAAUUAAUUAAUUAAAUUAGUAUAUUUCUGUUCUAGUUGCUUCCACGCUACUCGUCUAUUUCUAUCUCAGUUUUUUACUUUUCAAAAUAAAAGUUAAAAACAGUGUGCGGAAACCUGCUCAACAAUUUAUAGGCGGUUAUAAAAGUAAAAAGUAUGUAAACCGCCAAUUGGGAUCUCUAUCCAUUUUUUACCAAUUUUUAUAAAAAAUAAGGUCAAUAAAAGCUUUUAAAGCUGCAAAUCAGAAUCUCUAUCCACUUCCCCCCUCUCACUCUCCAAUUGCUAACAAGAAAAUAUUUCAUGAACCGGGUCUGCCACGUCAUCAAGUAAACCUAGAAAAACAUCUGAGAAUCUCUUAAUUUCAGUCAAUUUAUUAUUAGGAUGACGUGGUGCGCGUGGUUCACGGAAUAGAUUCUCCUUCCAUUUUCCGACCCUAUCCAUUCUCCUCGUUAGCUCCCCAAUUUUCGUUUUCCCAAAAUACCCCUCACCCUCCUCGCUCCUUCUCUUCUCGCCCACCGCUUCCCCUCUCUCUCUCUCUCUCUCUACGAAUCGCCUCUCUUUCUCUCUCUUAGGGUUAGUGGGGCUAGGGUUUGCGCGAUCGUGGAGACGAUGCGAGGCGAGGACCAGCAAUCGCGGCUCAUCUACGAGCUAUGCGCCCUCCUCCUCACCAUCCUCCGCCCCCCCUCCCAUCCUCCGGCGACGAGGACGGGGCGGCGUGCGGUGGCGCCGGCGAGGGUGACGCCCGCGGGGUUCGCGUCGCUGCUGCUCGGGGCCUCGCUGGCGCUGAUGCUGUGCGGGUCGGUGACGUUCGUGAUCGGGUUCAUCCUCAUGCCGUGGGUGAUCGGGCUCGUCAUGGUAUUCUACUUCGUCGGCGUCGUCUCGAGCCUCUCCGGAUUGGGGAGGGCGAUCCUUUGCCCUGAUUCCCCCUCCUCCCCGAAGGAGAUCUCAGGUGAGCGCUUUGUCCCUUCCUUUUUCUAUCAGAUCAUCCAAUUUUUCGAUUAAUCGUGGUUGUUCGAUAGCACUGGAUUUGAUUCUGUUCCUUUUGUGAUCUGAUUCUGUUUAUUAUUUUCUUAUUUUCUCUUGUUCGAUUACGGGAUUUAAUUUUGUCGAUAAAUUAUCAUUGAAUUUCUCAUCAAAAUUCUUUUUUUUUUUUCCAUUUUGUUGAGCUUUCCCCCCCUUUUUUACAUUUAUUUGAGUAUAUGUCUGACGAUAACAUGGCCAUAUGAUUUCUCCAGUCGUAUAUGUCGUGCGAUUUGCGGAAUUGUGGGUAAAAUUGAAAGUUUUGUGGGAAAAAUCGGAAAUUUUUUGUGCAAAAGAAGUUCAGAUGAUGGAAAACUCAUUAAUUUGCUUUAAAGCAAUAAAAUGAUAUCAUUGAAAUAAAUUCCCUAGCUGUUGCAUGCACUUAUUUCGUGAACUAAGAUGUUUAGCUUUUACUGUCCCCGUUCGUACCAAAUAUCUAACUUUUUCAUGAAAAGAAAAUAUUUCGCUUAUUAUAACUUUAUUUAAGCACAAGAGAGUUGGAACGUCUUAAUUGGGCCAUCUUAAUCUCAAACUUUGGACACGUGUGUGAAAUUCAGUAACUCUUGGGUAUCCGUGCAAAUGCAUACAAAAGGUCCUUUUCUGGUUGAAACUCAAUUGCUUGUCCCCACCCUGUGAAUUAUCGGGCCAUUAAUGACGUUUUCAUCUGUUUGCACCUACUCAAACUUUGGACUUUUUGCUAUUCUUUGACAUUUUUAUACUGGAGAAGAAAGUGAUCACGAAGACCGUAAAUAGAUUUAUUGUUAGACGUUUUAUCUUGUAAGUUCAUUAAUGUGGUUGGGAGUUUGAAAGAUGCCAGUUUGAAGAAAUCUGCGUGCUUUAUUAGUGUCGGAGGCGUAUAAAACUGGAUGUCUGUAUUUUAUGAAAAUCACCAUUAGUAAGUGGUUUUUGAUUAUUCUUCGGUUUGAUGAAACUGGUAAUAGGGGAUUGUCAGAAAUGUAUAGACAGUUAUUCCAAUACUUGAUUUUUGCAUCCAUCUUGUGAGGCAGAGAAAUUAAAAGGUAGUUCUUUUUAGUGUGGAAUUUCAAUAAAGAAGGUUCCGAAAGAAGAAGAACGGAGAAUGUUAUGAAAGAGCAGGAAGGAGAUUUUGUUCCAUCCAAAUUGAUAGGGAAUACAUAGCUUUUCGAGACUUUCAUUUUCAAAAUGUGCUUGGUUUAAAUGAAACUGAACUGUCCAGGAGUCUUUGAAGUGACUGGAUUCUACUAUCAUUCUUUAGAUAAAUUGGUUUUGUCAUAGCAUGCUAUCUGCAAUUUUGACUGGAUUCUACUAUCAUAGCAUGCUACCGGUUCGGAUUUUGUCAUAGCAUGCUAUCUGCAAUUUUGAUUACCAAUCUCUUGUUUCCAAAUUUUCUGGUUUUUAAAUGAAUUACGCUUUUCAAAGAUUUUGUUUUAGAAACCAUGAGUUGUAUGCUAAUGUUGCAAAUUAUCAAAAUAUCAGCUCAUGUAAGCAAUAAGAAAACCGUUAUUGAUCGUAUUUCUCUUUUGCCCGCGCUUUAAAUUUUUUCCUGACUAUCUCGAAAUUUUUCAUGCAGGUCCUCUCUUUUCCAAACUUCCAACUAUUUAGAUGUGAUAUGGUAUUUGCCGACAAAGUAGGUUCAAAUCGCGGCGGCUGGACUUAUUAACUUGCCCGGAGUUCGCUUUAAUUAAAACAGGUUUACAACUUCUUUAAACCCCCAGCUACUUUUUUCUUUUAUUUGGAUUAAUAUGUUGUACUUAAUAUCGGUCAUAUACUGUUUUCACGUGCCUCCUCUUCUGAUCUACACUUUAUGUGAAGAGAUGCAACUUGCUAAAAGGAGCAAUUUGAUAUUAACGUAAAUAUAUGAUGUUCUUGUGCUUAUAUUGUUUCUUAUUUCCUUACCUGCGUUUCUAUCUUGGAUGUUAUUCCAGAAAUGUAACUAAACUUAUCUGAUUUCUUAACCUAGUGUAACUGAAGUAUUCUUAUUUUUUAUUUGGCAAUAAGAAGGUGCUACAUGUUAAGGUUCAAUAUAUGAUUAAUGUUUAAUGUUGUAGUUUGAGUUUAAAAUGGAAGGAAUUCUGAUGGGAUUAAAACCGAUAGAAAAGCUUUUUUCACUGUACUUUAAAAGCUCUGAUUUAAUCAUCUAAAUUUAUAAUAUCAUCAAAAUUGCAAAUACCUGAACUUUAGAAAUUUUAAUUCUAAUUUAUAAUGUUACAAUAUACAUAAUGGUUUUUACAAGACAUUCCAUAAUCUAAUGGAAUAUUUUGUUAUUUGACAGGAUAUUCCAUGAAAAAGAUUACAAAUAAACAGUAGAAUCAGAAGUUUUAAAAUUCAAUCACCUGUUCUAAAAUGCUCAAAAAGAAAGAAGUGUGGUUCAAUUUCUCAGGCCGGAUGAGACCGGUGUUGUAUUUUUCAUGACCCAAGCCCAUCUUUACAUGUUGGGUUUGUGGUUCGUGUACUACUUUUGUUCUGGACAUACUAGAUUCAUUUUAUUUGGUCGAAACUGUCAAUGAAUAUUGAGCAGUGAUUAGAUUCAGUGAAUCCCUCAAUAAUAGUAACAUCGUAUUAUCGUAUUAUCUCUAGUGAUAACAUUAUCAUUUAAAUAUUGUAUUACAUACCCAUUCUGCCACACCUUUGUAAGUAUGGUCCGGGUCCGUCAUGCGAAUCUACGAGCACGAGCGGUGGUGAGGAAUCCCAGUGCAGAGCUAUAUCAAAUAGACUCUUGUGUGUCAUUAAUGCGUAGUAACACAUGAAGGCUAUCAAAGCUCCUUUCUCUGCCAUACCAAAUUAGGCAUUUUCAUCGUCCCGUUUUUCUUUUUUCCGAUCUAUUUGCAUUUCUGUUCUGAUUUCAAUUCCUUUUUUGAACCAAAUGUGCCCUUAAUUCUUUAACACAAUUCAAUUGUGAGUGAUGUGUGUUCGUGAAGGUAUGUGUGGAAUAGUUUAGAGAAAGGAUUCCAUGUCCACCCAACUGUGCACUUAAUCAGUUCUUAAAGAUUAAUCUAAGCUCUACAAACAUCUAGCUAAAGCUUCUUCCUCACCUUUUUAAGAUCUCUUGCGUGCCUUCUCACAAUGUGAAAAGCACCAAAUUCCUCUAAAAGCUAGCCCAACAAAAUGUAAAAAGCAAUGUAAAAAAGCAAAGUGUUGCCAUUACCUCAAAAGCUACACUACUAUUCGCAUUACUAUCUCCCUCCCUUGUCCCUUCUCUCCUCUUUCUUAGCCUUGAAGCAUGGCAUGCAUUCCUUUCCCUCCCCAAACUACCAACAAUCUCAUCUAUAAAUCCCAUAAUCUCCAUCUUAACAAGGGAAAACCUAUUCUCUUAUACUUGCUUUCGCCCAUUGAAUCGCUGAGAGGUUGAAGCCGAGAGAGAAGCUCUAACACUCGAAAGAAAAAAUGCCUAGAGAUACUGAUUGGGGUCCGAUAAUCGUUGCAGUGAUCCUCUUCAUCCUUCUAUCGCCGGGGCUUCUGUUUCAGCUUCCCGCGAGGACGAGGGUGGUGGAGUUUGGGAACAUGGCAACUAGUGGGAUCUCAAUUCUAGUUCAUAGCAUAUUGUUCUUCUGUAUACUCACCAUUUUAGUUGUUGCAAUAGGUAUUCAUAUUCAUGCUGCUUGAAUGAUUUAAAAAUGUGAGGAAGAAAACUUGAUUUGUUAAUUGUCAGGGAAAUUUACUGGAACUUCUUCACUUUUCUGUACUCUUGUUUUCUUUCUUUUUGCCCCCCUCAAAUAACAUCCAUUUGGAUUCACAAUUGUGGACUCUUGUAAGCAGUUAUGAAUACUUAUUGCUGAUCAACGUGUAACAAGAUUGCUGUGUUACCAAAGUACAGUUAUUUGCUGAUAAGAAGAUUAUGAACAAUGUCACCUCACCUGGUAACUUUUGGAAAGCAAAACAGUAUCUGCAUUACAAUUAGUGAUUUUAACACAAUUAUCUUCGAAAGGAACGUAUCUUAUUUAUUUAAUAAAUACUGACCAGAUUUAAUCUCUGUUACUGUCAAAAUCAGCUAUGCUAAUAACAUCAUCAUUAUAUAUGUUUGAAGGUUUUUCUAGGGAGAAAUUGGUAUUCUGUAUCAUCAUCCUUAAAACUAUAUGAUACCUCAAGUAAAAAUUGUUAAUCUAAUCUGAUAGGCUUAAGAGAAGAGUAUUUCUCUCUGUAUUUUAUGUAAUUCCCCUUACAAGAUGGCCAGAAGAAAACUGAAUUGAUAUGAUUACAAGUGUACCAGGCUUUCAAAUUUGGUUAAGGAACAAUGUGAUAAGGCCAAAAUCUAAGCAACUCAUCAACCCUUUGAAUUCUUUAUUUAACAGAAACAAAAGAACAAUAAUUGAGCAAUCAAACCCAUGCCUCACAAAUCAUACAAAACUCUUUCAUUACUUUUAAAAAAACCAUACAGAAUACAAACAGCUCCAACAAUUUAUUUAUCUGAUAAAGGAACAGAGAGAAUAUUUCACCCACCAAGAGAAACAUACUAGCCUGGGAGAAAACAAUCACACAGAACACAAACAGCUGCAUCCAUCAAGAGAAACCAAUGAGAAGGACAAUUCUUAAUUAACAAUCUCAACAUUAAUAAAAGCCCACAUCAUGGGAACCACUCCCAACAUUGCAAUUUUAAGAGCAAGUUACAGAGCAAAUUACAGAGAAUUCAACACAUGCCCAUCAAGAGGGGAGAAACGAAACAAAAAAGGCGACAACUUUGCUCCCAACUCUAAAAAUCCCACAUUGAAAUCACACGCAAAAUCCAAAUUUUUUUUUUUUUUCUUUCCCUUUCAAAAGAAGAAAAAGAAAACAUUGUUAUUAAGAUCCGAUGUACAUGUGGACGCCAACGGCGAGGAGGAAGAUGGCGACGAGGGCGAAGAAGAUGAUGGAGUGUAUGAUUAUGGAGAGCCCGCUCGUCUGCAGCGUCCCAAACUCCACCACGCGGCCCUUCCCCGGGAUCUGGAACAAAAGCCCCGGCGAUAAGAGCACGAACAAGAUCACCGCCACAAACACAGGCCCCCAAUCCGACAUUCCUCCUCCUCCUCCUCCUCUUCUUCUUCUUCUUCUUCUUCUUCUUCCUCUAAUGGCGGAGAGGGAGGGAGAAGGUGAAAGAGAGGGGGAUUUGGGGUUUGUGGGGGGGGGAGUGGGGUGGAAAUCAAAAGAGGAGUUUGGAAUCUGGAAACGUAAAGGACCCACUAGCUUCAACCACUCACUAUUCUUGCUGUGUUGUUUUUUUUAGGUUUACUGGGAAGGGAGAAAUUAUUUUUUCAUGUAAAUAGGACAUAGUUUAUUAUGAUGCGAAAAAAUAAAAAAUAAAAAUAAAAAUUCGCAGGGAUGAGUUGGGUAAAGUGUUUGAUUUACGCCCAACUUUUGAAUGCAAAAAUAGCAUUUCCCUUCUCUCUUCUCCCUUAGGCAAGGUUAAUUUUUCUUCUCUCUUUAUAUCUCCUUAUCCCUACCAAUGUUAAUGGGCCAGGGCUGGUCCAAAUUCUACAAUAUGGGCCUUUUUGGGCCUGAUAAGCUCAGGGGCCUAACGUAUUUGUGUCAAGCUGAUUAGAAUCAUUUAGGCCAGAUCCAGCCCACGGGCCGACAGGCGAAAACGCGCGCACUCAAAAAAAAAAUAAAAAAUUUAAGUUUUUUUUUUUUUUUUUUUUUUUUUUUUUUUUGGCUUUACUUACUUCGUCAAGAUUAACUACAUUAUAAUGAGUUGUUGGAUGUUGGAACUAACAUUUCUGGGGACUAUUCUAAACUUAGCCAAUCUAAGAUCUUCUAGGGAGUCGCGUUACAUCCACAAUAGUCAUCAGCCGAACAAUCAAUCGUGCUUUAUUUGUUAUAUAAUCCGAACUCAACUAAGACUCAUCAGUGCUCUACCUGCUAUAUGAUCAAAACUUAGUCGAGACUUACCUCAUAUUCAUAUUUUUGACUAGUGAUUGACGGCGUUCCGCUUUUAUAAAAAGUCACGCAUUCUAGAUCUAUUCUAGUCAUAACACGUUUAACCUCUAAAUUUUGGCUUAACCAUUAUCCAAAAUAUUAUAAACGGACUAAGAGGUUUAGUCAUAAUAUACUUUAUAUAUGUAACUAUUUUAAAUUUUAAGAGUGACUCAUAAAAUUGUUACAGACUCAUAAAAUGUUUUAAUAAACUUUUAUUAUUUUAUUAUUGUUAAAACUUAGGUUUUGUUUGGUUCGGGGUUAAGUAAGAACUAAUUAUUACAGGGAUAGGAUUAAGUUCAGUGUUAAUGUGGGGUUAGAAUAAUUUUGUGUUUGGUUGAGAAUUAUUACAGGGAUAGGUUUAGUCCAGUAUAAGUAAAAUAGUGUUUGGUUGGAGUAGCUGGGAUAAGGAGGAUAGUGGGUUAUUAUAAAUAGAAAAUAAUGAUUUUGCCCUAAUUUUUAUAUUUGAAUUUAAAUUUAAAAUUUAAAUAAUUAAAAAUAAUAAUUUAAAAUUUAAAAUUUAAAAAUAUUUUUUUAAAUCUCAAAUUUAAAAUUUAAAGGUACAAAUAUAAAAUGUCAAAUUUAAAAUUUUCUAUUUAUUAAAAAUAAAAAUUUAAAAUUCAAAAUUCAAAAUUAAAAUCUAUAUUUUAAAAUCUUAAAUUAAAAAAUUUAAAGUUACAAAUAUAAAAUAUCAAAUUUAAAAUUUAAAUAAUUAAAAAUAAUAAUUUUAAAUUUUAAAUUUUAAAAAAUAUUAAAAUUUAAAUAUAGACAUUUUUAAAAUUAAAAUUUAUAUUUAUAUUAAAAAAUUAAAUAGGGUCCCCAUCCCACGGGAUUAACUUAAUCCCACCCUAUUCCUGAGGUAUUGACUAUUCCGGAAUAACCCAUUUUAAGUGAGAUUAGGUAAUCCCACCUUCCAAAUUUUUUAUUUAAGAACUAAAAUAGAAGAGUUUUCCGCAGCAUUGAAUUCCUCGGCGAUAUUUUUGUACGCAUAUAAUCCUCGUACGAACUGAUUCUUCGAUGAAUAAUUGAAUCACUAAAAAUUAAAUGAUUGUACUUUUCAAACUGACAUCAUCCUUAAAUGAGACAACGACUUGUCAUGUGAACUUUUCUUUUUAAUUUUUUUCCCCUCUUUUUAUUAUUGGGGCAAUUUCAUUUCACCCUGAAAAAUUUUAAAAUUAUCGUAAAUACGCCUACAUGAUUUGUAAUAUCAAAAUUGCCCCUACAAAUAUUUAUUUUGUUUUAAAAAUAUCCUUAACUCAUCUUAAUCAUAGUCAUACCAUGAUAUGAUGAAGGUUAAGAAUAAUAUUAUCCAUUUUGCCCCUAAACUGGUGAGGGGCAUAUAAAUAUACGUGGUCCAUUUUUUUAAAAUUUUUUUUGUCCAUUCAGAUUUCAAAUAUUGUAAUCAGUUAAAUAAAAAAAAUUCAAUUAAUAGGUUAAUUAGCUAUUAAUAAUUAACUAUUAAAUGAAUUUAUGCUAGUUUCAAUUGAAAAUUAGUGGAAGGUAUUAAAUUUAAUGGAAUAAUUAUCUUAUUUUGUGAAAUUUUUUCAUUACCUAAAAUUUUUAUCUUUUCAAUUUAUUAUUUAAAACUAUUAUUAGUUCAUGCAAAGUUUGUUGAUUACAAGAAUUUAGUUUGCCCUUUUAUAAUACAACUAAUUUUUUUAUUUGAGGCCGGAUUUUACACUAAUGUAUUUCUCUUAGUUAUAAUGUAUUCAUAGCGACGAAUUUUCUCUACAUUAAGUUGUCAAAUAAAAAAAUUCUAUUACUUUAUAAUCCGUGUAGUCAAAAGGUAGAUAUAACUAAAAUGAAUUAUCUUCUCAUUACGACAAUGAAGCAAAAUAAAAUUAAUUUAACUACAAUUUAUUCCAAAUAGAAAUAUUUAUUUAAUUGAAAUGAAUAAUUUUUUUAAACUAAAAUCAAUUGAAUUUUACUAAAUUUUUAGUCUAGAUAGAAUUUAAUUAAUUUUGAAAUAUAAUAGAGGGUAUUUAUGAAAUAGAAUUAGUAAUUGACCAUUAAAUAAUUAAGAAGGGUAAAGUUGGAAUAUAAAUAUUAUUAACUUUAAUAUGAGCGAACACUUAUGGCAGGGUUAUUUUUGAAAGUUUUUUAAAUUUGAGAGAUCAUACAUGAUUUUUAAAGGGAUAUUUAUGAAAUUAGAUGUUUUUAGAAGGGUAUAGAGAAAAUUUUCUCUUUAUUAUUUAUGUCUUAAACUAAUUAAUUUUUGUUAGAAAAAAAAAUAUAAAAAUUAUUAUGAAAAAGGUAAAUUUUAGAAGCAGAAUUUGAUUAGUUGGUGACAUAAUAAUGUGGUGACAUUAUCUGGUUCCGGACUUUUUGCCUCGUUUAUUGCUGUUUCAACUGAGAAAUACACACACAAGUUACAUGUAAAGCGACAUUAAGGGUCCGUUUGUUUUGGUAUAAGUGAAAAAUAUAAUGUAAUUCAAGUUACGUUAAAACUCCACCACUUUACCUAUUCUCAACUUUCACCUCUAAAGUGCUGAAUUCGACUUCCACCACACUCAAUCUUGUAUAAAAAAUUUAUUAAACAGUAAAACCUAAACUCUACUUGCUUUAUAAUGAAUUAGAAUUACCUUAUUUAUAAUAAAUUAAGAUUACCUUUAAAUAAUAAUAAAAAAUUUAAUUAUAUAAUAUGUUAAAUUUUAUAGUGGUAAAUUUAUUACUAUAUUUAAGAGAUAAUGGGAUCCACUUACUUACAUCAAAGCCAAAAACGAAACUCAAAAAACUAAUUUUACCAACACCAAGUUACAUCAAAAUAAACAGAAGAAGUAAUUGAAUUUAACUUUAAGACUGUACGAGUUACGUUAAAACAAACAAUAAAAAAAUAAUCACACUUUAGAAAAACUCAAACACCACUACACUUGACUUACGUUAGAUCUACAGAUUCGUCAAUCCAAACGCCCCCUAAACACAUUUGUAUACUCACCAAUUUAAAAAUUUAUAAAAUAUAAAAAUGGUCCCACAUUAUUCAUUCCUUCAAUUAAUUAAAUUUGUCUGUAGAGUUAUUUUUCUUUCAAGCAUAGAGAUUUUGAUUGGCUUAAAACAUAGCUAUUUAGUGUCUCUGAUGCUGAUAGAAGACCACCUCCACCAAUUUGUUUACUGAUUGGCUUAAAACAUAGCUAUCUAGUGUCACUGCUGCUGAUAGAAGAUCACCUCCACCAAUUUAUUUUAGAGCCAAUAUUAGUCUAAGUUUAGUAGUUGAAGUGAACUUUUCAUAGUACUAAUUAAGAAUGUUGACAUUAUUAUUCCCACACAAAUCCUUCGAGCAACUACAUACAUAUUCACACGGGACCCCAGUUACAGUGGAACAAGUUAAUCCGAGACUUGUACUAUCGAAGGAGAAAACCAAUGAGGAAAGGAAAAACUUUCAGAACCCACUCGUCCUGGUGGACGGGAGUCCUUGGCCUCAGCACUAUCUUCAAAUGGGGCAUGGCUUUCACGCUUGGUGACGGGAGCACCAUUGACUUUUGGUUUGAUCGGUGGUGCGGAGAGAACACGCUAAAACUUGCAUUUCCUGAGAUUUAUAACUCAUCUGGGGUGAAGGGGCUUAAAGUCAAUGCAUGCAUCACGAGGGACGGAUGGAACUGGAAUAGGGUCUUGGGAUCCGAGGUUGGACGAUCUUAGGGGUCGAACGAUAGAAUAUCGGAGUUUGUCGAAAGGAUAUCCGCCUUCUCGGUCGUGCAAGGACAGGACAGGUUGCGAUGGCGUUGGAGCCUAGAUGGAAUGUUCUCGGUAAGAUCAACCUACCUAACGUUGUUCGAUGGGGGCACGAGGGAUGCAUGGGCAACGUCGAUCUGGAGCCUCAAAAUUCCACUUAAGGUCAAGGUCUUCGUUUGGUUGGUACUCAAGAAGAGAAAUGCCACAACUGAUAAACUUCUAAAGAGAGGGUGGGUGGACGACUCGACAUGCAUGCUAUGUGGGUCGGAAGAGGAAUUGGUGGACCAUUUAUUUGCCCGGUGCGUCAUCUGUAAGUUUCUCUUAGUGUCGGGAGUGGACGGGGUCCAAGCUCAAGACCUGGGGGUCGACGUACACCUAGUUUGGGAUAGGUGGAGGAGCACGAUGGGUGUUCACUCGAAGAGAAAUAGACUUACCGAUCUGGUGGCCAGUUGGUGGACCAUUUGGAAGGUAAGGAACGACUUGAUUUUUAGAAGGAUCCACCCGAACCCUGGGCAAGCCGCGCAAAACUGUAAGCUGUUAGUGCAAGAGUGGGACCUUCUUUCCCGUAGUUAGUUUUUUUUUUUUUUUUUUUUUUUUUUAACCGUGCCAUCCGGGGCCCCCAUUGCCCUACUCUUGUAGCUUAGUUCAUAUUUUCAAUGAAUAAAGCAAAUAGCUUGCUACCUUUCUCUCAAAAAAAAAAAUUAUAUACAUAUUCCUCAAAAAUAAUAAAAUAUUAUAAAAUAUAUUUUCAAAAUUAUCAAUAUAAAAUUAUAAAUUAUAAAAAAAAACAUGUCAUUUUUUAUGUUGAUUAAGAAUAUUACAAGGAUUUGUCUCUAGUUAUGCCUAAUUAAUUAUAAAUAAGGACGUCGAUUACAAACGUAUCCAGCAAUUAGGGGUGUAAUGUGGGCCGUGCCGGGCCGGCACGACCCACAUUUUCCGGGCAAAAUCGGGCUAGGGUCAGGCCCGGCCCGGCCUGGAUUUAAUCUCGGGCCGGGCCGUGCCGGGCCAAAUUUUUCUAUCCUCUAACCCGGCACGACCCUUUGGCCCAGAAGGCACGGGCCGUGCCGGGCCGGGCCGUGCAUCGGGCCGGCCUACAAAGUAUUUAUUUUUUAAAAUUUUUUAAAAAAUUUAGUAUGAAAUUUAAAAAUAUAAACAAUAAAUAUUUUUAUUUAAAUUAAUAUUUUGAUUAAAAUAUUAAAAAAUUAACAGAGGCGCGAGUUUUUUCCGAGGGCCGGGGGUUUACCGGGGAUGGCAGGGGUCUCGGUGGAGGGAUCUCGGAUGGAGGUGCCGAGGAUAGGUCGGGGGAGCCGUGGAGAGAUGGUCAGGGGAGGUGAGGGGAACGAGCACAGACUGGGUGGGCCUUGAUUUGGCCGUCUGGAUGCGGGGGCAUUUGCCUUGGCAUAGGCCGCGCUGUCUGGCCCGGCUGGCGUAGCCCAAACGGCCGAUGCCCGUGUCGGGCCUCCCGCUCGCCUCGCCUGGCAUUAGCGGCAGGCUUUCCGUUUCAGGGCUGUGCCGGCGGCCGACCGUGGGCCCAACGUGCCGCUCGGCCCGUUUUUACACUCCUACCGAGCAAUAGUUAAAAUAAUUUAGAUGGUUCUCUUAAAAUUAUCAAUACUUAAUUCUUGUCACUAUACAAUUUAUAAUUUAAUCUAAAUAUACUUUUGGUCGCGCUUGUUAAAACAUCACUUAAAGAUAGGCUUGAAAUAAUGAAGACAUUGUUUUGCUUCCCUUAAUAUGUAAUUAUAUAUGUUAGAUAGUAUUAUAAUAUAUAUAUAUAUAUUAAUAUAUAUAUAUUUUAGAUAUAAGAACGACGAGAGCGAGAGAGAGAAGAGAGGAGAGAAGACGAGAGAGAAGAGACGAGAGAGUCUUGGCUUGUAUGUCUUAUAGAAGCGAGGCUAUUCCCGUGCUGUCAAAGUAGUUUCGUAUUCAGACUGUUCGCAUGACGUCGUCUCCGUUGAGUUGAAUCUCCGAGUAUUUGAAGUACAUCAGACAUACAAUUUUGCGAUUUUCGAAUAUCGAUUUCGCCUAGUGAUCGAAGGCUCAAAUCAAAAAUUUUAAGGGUGGGUGACCAAUGUGGAAGUUUAACGGUGUAGAAAUAUCCAAAUCAUAUAAAAUUUUGAUAGAAAAUUCUUUAUACUAUAUAAAAUAAGAUCAAUAUCUUUGAUCUAAAUUUUUAAUGUCAUAUCAUCAUAUUUUGUGAGAUUUUUAUUUUCAGCCGUUGAUUUUGAGCCCCUUCGAUCACUAGGCAAAUGAUAUCGAAAAAUCACAAAAUUUAUUUUCUAGGUACUUCAAAUACUCUAGAUCAUGUCUAACGGAGCCGAUCGUCGAUUCGAAAGUCCGAACGUCGAAAAUAACUUGAAAGCAAGGAGGCCUCCGUGCAUAAGCAUACUAGCCGCACUCUCUCUCUCUCUCUCUCUAUAUAUAUAUAUAGAGAGAGAGAGAGAGAGAAUUGAGCUCCUAUGCUUUUAAAAGUACCAAGUUAUUGGUACUUGUAGAUUUUUAGCCAUUGGAUUAAGAGAUAUGCAGUUAGGAUGAUAUGGGCCCCCUAGGGUUCAGUGGGUGGUUGGUUGAAUAGUAUAAUCUAAUGGUUGAAAAUAAUCCCAUGAGUAGAUCUAACGGUAAGAAACUUACAAACACAAAGUGCUUUGUGCUUUUACAAGCACCAUUGCUGGACUAUAUAUAUAUAUAUAGAGUUGAGCUAGAAUACUCUCGAUAGUAAACGACGCAUAUAUAUAUAUAUAUAUAUAGGCUAUGGCUACUAUACUAUUAUGAGUAUUAGAGCCCUCGUACUCAUAAGUUGUUUUGAAUGAUGGAGCUUCCGAAUCGACGAUCCACUCCGUUAAAUAUGAUUUAGAGUAUUUGAAACUUCUAGAAAAUAAAUUUCGUAAAUUUUCAAAAUCAUAAUAAAGACCAUCAAGUGGGCAUAAAAUGAACGGUCAAAAUCGACGACGUCCUAAAAAAGGAUGAUCGGAUCCUUCAAUUCAAGAUCAGAGUUAUUGAUCUUUAUCUAUGUAGUGAACAGAAUUUUCUAUCAAAAAUUCAACAAAUUUCGAUUUUUUUACACUGUUAAACUAGCAAGUAUUCCAUACCGGCCGUUAAAAAUUGUCAAAUUUGUGACCUCUUGAUCGUAAGGUAAAUGAUAUCGCAAAAUUAUAAAAUUUGAUUUCUAGGAAUUUUAAAUGCUGUAAAAAACGUUUAACGGUAUGAAUCGUCGAUUCGGAAGCUCUAUCAUCGAAAACGAUUUAUGAGUACGAGAGCGAUCGUUCUCAUAAUAGUAUAAUAGCCGGACCCUAUAUAUAUAUAUAUAUAUAUAUAUAUAGAGUUGGACUGGGCUACUAUUAGUAGCAAAAUCCUAUUGUUGCUAUCAAUUUUUUAGCCUUUGGAUCAACUCUUUUCAUUAUUUCUAACCAUUGGAUUAAAUACUAUAACCCAGUGGGGACCACUCAACNNNAUAUAUAUAUAUAUAUAUAUAUAUAUAUAUAUAUAUAUAUAUAUAUAUAUAUAUAACUACCAUUAUCUGAUAAUGGUAAAUAGGAUAAUAAGAUAAUAAUGAAACUAUGACUUCUAAUUGUUCCUCUCGCGGAACUUGUAAUUAUUUGACUAUUUGGACCACUUUAUUUGGAAUUAAUUUAUUAAGGAGGGAUGAGGCCAUUGAGAUGAGUGGAAUAAGUUUGAGAGAAAGAGAUAGAGAGAGACAGUAGGAAUGCAAACGGAAUGGAUCCAGAGAGGGAGAGCGGGCCCAUCUCUCAUUUCAUUUUCUCUUAGCGAGAUAAGCGUGGCUUGGCUAUGCAAAUUGAUGGAUCCAGGGCGGGAGGGGUUUCCCACCUUUCAUUUUGUCUUUUUAGCUAUAGGUAUCAUCUAAAGCAUGAUCUACUCUGAUAGUAAUUAUUGAAACUGAUAUUUGUGCUGAUACUAAUUAUAUAAUUCAAGAUCUCAAAUUCUGACUAUAUAAUUCAAGAUCUAAAAUUAAACAAAAUAAUAUGAAGAAGAGAUAUAUUGAAGGAGGAAGAAAAAAACUAAAUUAAUAUUUUAUUAAUAACAAAUAUUUAAUUAUAUUCUGGAUGACACCCUCAGCCUUAUGCAGCCAUAUCUACUGUUUCUUGUUCCUCUAAUUAAUUAAUCCAUGCUUAAUUAUAUAUAGUUAUCAUGUCAUAACAGAGCAUAAAUCCAAAGUUUUAAUUUGGAUAAUUACAUAAUCUUUUAAAUAUCAAUGUACAAUUUGGAUAUACUUUAUUUCUAGCUAAAUUUUAAAUUAAGUUUGGAUUACUAUUCCAACAGGUAUGAAUUCGAAACAAGUUGAAUUUUAUACUAUUUUUUUUGUUUUUUACUUGCUUUUUCAUUCCGAGCAUGUUAGGACAAAUGUGAAUUUUAAGUGAAUUUUUGAUAGAUUUAAAGAACAAAGGGAUCUCCCACCUUCCAAUUCAUAACUAAUGUAGAUAGAUUUAAUUUUUAACAUGGAAGAUUUUUAAGUGAAUUUUUGAUAGAUUUGAAGAACAAAGGGAUCUCCCACCUUCCAAUUCAUAACUAAUGUAGAUAGAUUUUUUUUUUUUUUUAACAUGGAAGAUUUUCAAUGAAUGCAGACAGUUGUGAAAGGGCUUACUGUCCCAUUUGGAAGAAACAGGAUGGAAUCUCUACUAAACCAGAACCAUUGCAUCCCUAUGAGAGAGACAGAGAGAGAGAGAGAGAGAGAUUUGGAUAUUUUAAGUCUCACAUGGAGAGAGAGAGAGAGAGAGAGAGAGAGAGAGAGAGAGAUUUGGAUAUUUUAAGUCUCACAUGGAGAGAGAGAGAGAGAGAGAGAGAGAGAGAGAGAGAUUUGGAUAUUUUAAGUCUCCCAUGUUAUCCAUGUGGUAGGGACUUCACUUCGAAGUUGGAGUAAUUAGAAAGGGACAAUUUCAAAAAGGGCAAAAAUAUAAUAAUAGUUAGUAUGUAGGUUUGCUUAACCAAAUCUUUUUAGGCUUCGUUUGGGAUUACGGAGAUAUUGCGUUACGUGCGGUGCCAGUGAAAAAAUACGUUGGAAAAAUAUCAUGUUUGUUUUCGUACGUAAUAUUACAUUCCGCAUAUCGCGAUAAGUCUAUUUUCUGUAAUCCAACCGGAGAACGCAGAAUCAUAUUUCUAUAUGCUUUUUUUUUAACUUUAUUUUAUCUAAUAAUGUUUGAUAGGUCUCAAUACCAAACUAUAAGCCUUACGUGUAGCCUAAAGAUUUUUUGAAUUUAAAAUAAUAAUUGCAAGAUAUAUACUUUUUUGGAUAUGUCAGUAGCAGUGCUCUUCUCUAAUCCAGUAUAAAAUUUAUACACCCUUUUGGAUGCAUCAAUAGCAAGCUCCUUUUUAAACUCUAGCACUUUUGCAGAUAGAUAUUUUGACUUUUUAUUUUGAUAAUUAGUUUUUUUAACUUUAUUAAAUAGUUUAAUAGAUUUUUCGUCUCAAUUAAAGUUUUUUUUAUUAUACAUUUGUUUUGAUAGCUUGUAUUGUGUAAGUAUAAAUAAUAUUUGAUGGUAAAUUUUUUGACUUUUUGAAAAAUGCGUGUAAAUAUUUUUUUGAAUGAUAUAAAUAAAUCAUGUA
rnacentral:lncRNA from 1 species